CAAAAACUGAUUGUUAAUGAAUCAAAUGAUAAGUCUAAAAUUUGUAAUUCAUCUGGUUUUGAUUAUGAUUUAAUUUUUGGUGUUCCAGACAAGGUUGUUGAUGCUGAAGUAAAUGCUGUUGAUAAUCAAACUCCUAAAUCUUCGAAACAUAUUGAUGAUUUGACAAUCACAUCAGAUACUACUGCUAAUGGCGAAAGUAUGAUGGAUGCAUAGGUGGAGGGGAGCACUUGCAUAUUCCUUCAAAUCAUGAGGUGGAGCAUCCUUUCGAGGGGGAGCAUCAGGAUGACAAUUAUGUUGAGGGGGAGCAUAAUGAUACUGAAACCAUAAAUCUUGAUCAAUAUGAUGAAUUUCAUGAAGUAAUUGAUAAUAAUGUUAUUGCAGGAUCCGAAGAUAAAGAAAUGUACGAAGAUGCACCAUUGAAAUUUGAUGUAGCAUAUCCACCAUUGCAAAAAUGGACAAGAAAUCAUCCAAAAUAACAAGUCAUUGGGAAUCCACAAUGUGGUGUUUUAACUAGAGCUCAAAUUCAUGCAAAGUAUGAGGUACUGAAUACUCAUUAAGAAUUUUUCAUGAUUAAUGUUUUUAUUUCGAAAGUAGAAACAAAGUCAGUGAAAAUUGCAAUGGAACACACUGACUGAGUUGUUGCUAUGCAAUCUGAACUUGCUGAAUUUGUGUGAAACAAGGUUUGCAGACUAAUCCCUAAGCAAAAAGAUGUUUCGAUAGUUAAAUUAAAAUGGAUUUUCAUAAAUAAAACAGGCAAAGAUGGUAAUAUUGUUCGAAAUAAAGCUAGGCUUGUAGUAAAAGGUUAUUCGCAACAAGAAGGAAUAGACUAUGAAGAAAGCUUCGCCCCUGUCGCAAGACUCGAGGCAGUUCGAAUAUUUUGGCCUAUGCAGCUCACAAAGACUUUGAUGUUUAUCAAAUGGAUGUGAAAUGUGCAUUUUUUAAUGGAGAAAUUGAAGAGACAGUUUAUGUGGAACAACCUCCAGGUUUUGUUAAUGAAGAAUAUCCUGAUCAUGUUUACAGUUUAAAUAAGGCAGCAUAUGGGUUAAAACAAGCACCAAAAGCCUGGUAUGCAACUCUUACCAAUUUCAUACAACAAUCGGAAUUCAAACAAGGAUCAGUUGACCUCACAUUAUUUCGAAAGAAAGUUGGGAAUCAUCUAAUACUUGUUUAAAUUUAUGUCGAUGAUAUUAUUUUUGGCUCUAUUGACCCUGCUUUGUCUAGUGAAUUCAAAUGUUUGAUGAAAAGCCAAUUCGAAAUGAGCAUGAUGGGUAAAAUCAAUAAUUUUCUUGGUUUAAACAUUCAUCAAAGCAGAGAAGAAAUUUUAAUCAAUCAAGAAAAAUAUAGAAGGAAUUUGCUUGAAAAAUUUGGAACGACAAAUACCACGAAGUUAAGAGUACCAAUGGCGGUUGGAACAAGGCUAACACCUUCAUUAGACACAUCUGUUGUUGAUCUUAUUUUAUACAGGAGUAUGAUAGGUUCAUUGCCUUAUUUUACAGCAAGUAGACCUAAUAUCAUGUUUUAUGUAUGUAAUUGUGCUAGGUAUCAAGUUUGUAAGUUGCCAAUCGAAAACGAAAACAUGUGUUGCAAUUUCAAUUGCUGAAGCUGGGUAUAUUACAGUUGUCGCUUGCACUUCGCAAAUCAUAUGGAUUUAGAGUCAAGUGCGUGACUAAGCAAUUAUUAUGAAAUAGAUCCCAUUGUAUUGUGAUUCACAAAGUGCUAUAUGUAUUUGUCAUAAUCCAGUACAACACUCGAAAACCAAACAUAUUGCACUUCGGUAUCAUUUCAUUAAAGACCACAUGGAAGAUGGAAACAUUGAAGUUUAUUUUUUACAAACAACUGAUCAGCUUGCUGACAUUUUUACAAAACGAUUGGAUGAAAAAUCAUUUGUUAGAAUUUUGCAAGGUUUGGGAAUGAUUAAGGCAAAUUCGGUUCAAGGACUACUUUCGAAAGAAUGACAAAGAAGUGAUAAGCUUCGUUUGAGAGGCUAAUAGUAUUAACCAUUCAGUGGUUACUGUUCACGUUCAGGGCUUCGAUACGCUUCGUUUUCGAAAUUUAGGAAAUAAAAGUUUCGUUAGUUUGGUACAUUCUUACAUUUUCGUUUGUUCGUUAAUUAAUUUUCUUUUUGAAAAAAUCAAAAAUACCAAAAAUAUUUUCGUUAAUUUGUGUUCUUUUUGAAAAAUCAAAUAUACCAAAAAGAUUUUCUUUAGUUAUUUGUUUUAAUUUUUGAAAAAAUCAAAAACACAAAAAUAUUUUCUUUCUUUUCAAAAACAUAAAAUCCAAAAAGAUUUUUGUUAUUUUGUACUUUGACUUUUCUUUCUUAAUUGCAGAACCAACGAAGUUUUACUAGAGUCAUGCUUGUGUUUCUAGGGUAAGGUAAAUUUUCGACAAUUUAUACUAGUUAGAAUGUCCCUAGAUGCAUGAUGCAGCAUGUCGACCCAAGCCUCCUUUGAUUUAAUGUGUGAUUUUUAAAGCCUUAAUGAAAAUUUUGAUUAUGAAAAUUUCUUCCGAAUCAGGCUUGCAUUCACAUUAGUCUACUGAGCUACCUAACUCUUCUCAAAUGAGUUAACAGUUUUCUGUUUGGUCCAAAAAUAACAGAGGUAGAAUUGAACUCAUGAAACAACCUUUUUCAUGUCACAAAUCUAGCACACUUCACACACAAUGACAUAUGUCCCAGAGGUCAUUGAUCAAACCAACCAUCAUUUAAACAUAUAAAAACUCUGUGUUUAUGAUCUUGAUUCACGAGACCGUUAUGAAAGUGACCAAAUUUUCGAUACUACAAAUCGUAUUUUUUUGUUAUGAGUGGUCUUGAUCAAAUGUUCGAAGCCCACGACAUUUGUUACGCAAUAGGAUCCAGCUGAAACUAAUUUUUCUUUGAAUAUGAUUUUCAUGUGAGUAUCAAUUCUUUCAAUUGUCACUUUCACAGUAAUCCAAAGCAUACUUGUCACUGACUACACUGGUCAUACAAGUCAUUUAUGUUACAGUUACUAACCUUAUGUUUAGGUUGAUAUGUAACAAAAAUUUUAAGCCAUCCACGAAGCCUUGAAGAAGAAGACCUUCGAUACUUCUUUAUAAGUAGUCGAUUGUAGUUGACAAGAAACCACACAAGCUGUUGAUUAUCUCUCUUGAUAAUUAACAAAGCAACCUUUGCCCGGGUUUUAUCUGCCUUUAUGUUGAAAUUUUAUUUUUCGACAUCACAGAUCACAAAUUUUCCUUAGUUUGCUUCAUAUCUUAUUUUGUUGGCACACUGCACACACGAAAUCCUUUAGCUUCUGAGUAAUACAAACUCAGGGUGAUGAUUACACAAGUCUGGCAUAUGAAUUCGUUUCUAAACCCAAAAAUGAAAGAGCCUGUCCUCCAUGUCAAAGGUUUUCGAUCUUAUCCACUUGGUAUCACGAACAGUUUUUGAAGUGACUGUUUGCAACGUGGUGUGACUUCAAAGGUACUCUAUCUAACAUGGCAUGUUUAACGGCUAGUGGUGCGAGUUUCAAGGAAUGAUAAGGCUUACUCUUCCAAGAAAACAUUUGGAAUUCAAUUGGGGUUACAUAUAAAAGGAAGUUAUUAUCUUCUUUUAUAAUUACACGUUCAAAUUCCCAGACGAUCAAAUAGCCCUAACUUUCUCUGUUCAUCAAGAAUUUCUAAAAACCCUAAUCAAUGGUGGCUAAUCCAACCACCACCACUGAAGAAGUUGUAUCACAACCCAUCAUGAUGAUCCAAAGAACCAAUUAUCAGGUUGAGGGUGAUGUAUCACUAUACAUUGAGGAGUUAAAGAUGUUGAUUGCUGCCAUAUGGGUUAAAACAAGCACCAAGAGCCUGGUAUGCAACUCUUACCAAUUUCAUAAAACAAUCGAAAUUCAAACAAGGAUAGGUUGACCCCACAUUAUUUCAAAAGAAAGUUAGGAAUCAUCUAAUGCUUGUUCAAAUUUAUGCCGGUGAUAUUAUUUUUGGCUUUAUUGACCCUGCUUUGUCUAGUGAAUUCGAAAGUUUGAUGAAAAGCCAAUUCGAAAUGAGCAUGAUGGGUAAAAUCAAUAAUUUUCUUGGUUUAAACAUUCAUCAAAGCAGAGAAGAAAUCUUUAUCAAUCAAGAAAAAUAUAGCAGAAAUUUCCUCGAAAAAUUUGGAAUGACAAAUAGCACGAAGUUAAGAGUACCAAUAGCGGUUGGAACAAGGCUAACACCUUCGUUAGACACAUCUAUUGUUGAUCUUAAUUUAUAUAGGAGUAUGAUAGGUGUUGAAUCAAAAAGUGACCCUCUUGAACUUUAGCUACCAUAGACUCCAAGCCACCACAGUCAAGCAAUCUCAUCAAUAAUAGUCAUCUGGAGUCUUCAGGACUGCAGUCUUUAUUUUUACUUAGAUUAUUUUGUCUUUUCUGUAAAGCUCUCUAAUGUCCAGUAUGCCUUGCAUGGCUACUCUUAGAGUUGUAAACUUGUCUCUAUAAAUAGAGUUCAUUUCUCAUGUAAUCAGUACUGUGUGAAUCUCUCAUCAAAUUCUAAUACACAUCUCAAAGUUCUCAUUUUAUCUUACUUAUCCAAUCUUCUUACUUUCAUAAUCAAUCAUCAUAUCUCUUCAGAGCAAGUCACUUGUGACUUAACCAUUAUGUUUGAUUUCACUUACUAACUUGGAUUGAAUGCAUUCCUUGUUACGAAUAUGCUUAUGUGUAUACUUGGUAUAACAAUUGUUGUCAUUUACAUUCCUUUACCUUUCCGCAUCUAACUCACUAACUUCUAACUCUUAAUAUUAUUGUUGAGCUAACAGAUCCUUCGAGAUUAACUAUUCCGCUAUAUACUUGUUCUAACGUUUUGUUCAAGUGCGUCUCAAAGAUUUUUCUCUCAACAAUUGGUAUCAGAGCCAUAGUGGUUGCUUUUUUGAAAAUCGGAACUCUGAUUUUUCGAAGAGCUUUCUAUACCACUGAAGCUCAUUUGUAAAAAAAAUCUUCAAAAUGGCACAAUCGUUAUGACUGAAUGUCUCCAAUAGUGUUGGUGGUUCUAAUCGAGCCCCAAUACUGGUUGCGAAUGAAUAUCAUCACUGGUCUCAAAGGAUGGAAAGAUAUCUCGGAUGACUUGGUAGAGAUGUUUGGCGAUCUAUAGAAGAAGGACCACAUGUCCCAGUCCUCACACUAGUCCAAACUGACGGAGCCACCGCAAGGCUAGGAGGAGGUCAACCAUCUUUGAACUGUCCCACCAAAGAUGAUCUCGACAAGAUGGAAAAUGAUGUUAUUGCCUUUUAUGAAAUCUCUUAUGGAGUUGCUCCUGACAACUUCGACAUCAUCAUAAACUGCAAAUCAACAACAAAGAUCUGUGAUGUUCUCUAAAACCUAUAUGAAGGUUCAGAGAAGCUCAAGACAAGAAGCUCAUCACGACACUCAAUGAAUUCAACAACUUCAAAGCUCACUCUGGUGAAAGUUUGGAAGACACCUUUAAGAGAUUUAACAUGAUUGUCACAAAACUGUCCAAUGCGGGCACUGUCCGUAGAAAUCAUGAAACAAAUCUACAGUUCCUUAAUGGCUUGGGAAGACAUUGGACAACAGCCAAAAUGAUUUUUCAAGGAGACAGGAAGAUUCACUCGUUGUCCCAUUACAAGCUCUAUGGAGAGUUGCAAGCUCAAGAGUCCAUUAUACUCAAGGACUGCUCAGACUUCGGAGGUCCACUUGCUCUUGUAGCACAAUCACCUCACACUCAAACUUAUCCCACUUUGUAUGACUCACCACCGCAGUCAUAUGAAGUAGACUCAAAAUAUGACAAUGAAGAAGAGUUUCAGAAUGCCAUCGCCCUUAUCAGUCAGAAAUUCAAUCGCUUACCACCUUCAUUUCAUAAAAACCAACAAUACAAUCGACCACCUUUCAACCGCAACUUUCAAAACAAUCACUUUCGUUCCACCAAGAAUCCUCUCCCUCCACCGCAGCCUCAGCAAACACAGUCUAAAGACAUACCACCGCAGUCUCAAUCAACUGACUCCAGUACCUCUUUAGAAGACAAAAGUGACAUUGUUAUAUGAAACAAGUGCAACAAAGAAAACCAUUUUGCCAAGGAUUGCAAGGAAAACGUAGUGAAAGAUAGAGCCUUAUAUCUUAGAAUGGCUCAAGAACUGAAGGAAAAAGAAAACAGAAAUGCCAACGUUGCUCAAGUGAAAAGGAAUCAUCAAGUGUGGUCAUCAGGAGAUGAAGAUGAAGACGAUCACAGUAAAGGAAAAGGCAAGAUCUGUAUGGUAGCCACUGCUGAUGAAGACGACUCAACCAAGCUAAAGCAUAACCACUGCUAUAUGGCGGAAGAUGGAACUCUCAGCAUUAUGGAACAAGUCAAACUAAUGAUUCAAACUUUAAAUUACAACAUGCAUGAUUGUCAACCUUUCUUAGAAACACUCAAUGACACAUGUGAUGCCGUCCUUACAGACUACAAUAAUGCCUUAGAUGAGAAGAACAUUGCAUCGCAGGAGAUGUUCCAUGUUAGAGGACGUUUGGACAAUAAGAGAUUCAAAAUGGCAAUGUUAGAGAAGGACUUGAUGCUAGAAAAAAGAUGCUAGGAUGUUAAGUGAAACACAACUAGAAAUAGCUUUAAAUUAGAGAGAUCUAGCAUAGAGUGAAAUUGUACGCUUUAAUCUUUUAAUUAAAAAGAUUUUUAAUGAAACUGAGGCCAUUGAGAAUCUAGUUAAUAUUGGGAAUGUUGAUAACACUUUUAAUUGGGGUUGGUCCAAUGGGUACCCAACCGUAACGGACAACUCACCCCGGUUCACAUCGGAACGUCCCUACGUCCCACCAGACCGCAACUUCUUAUUCCCAGUCAAUGACAAAACAUUUCCUGAGGAUAUCCAAGCUCAUUUUGGUAAACUCUGUGAUCUGAGUAAUAACUCUGUUAUUGAGGAAAUUCUCCCUGAAUUUUCUAAUCAUGUUGAUAACAUAGUUCAUUCUGAUUCUCAGACAUCAUCCGUAGCCGAUGAGGAAAUUGUUGUAGAAAGUCCUGAAGUCAAAUUAGACUUCCCAUCUCUACAGUUUGACCGCAUUGUUCCUAACUGUAGUCAUGAACUGCAGUCCAUCCCAUUACCCAGUAUGAAUUGUCCCACUAAAGUGUCCACCAAGACUUACUUUGCGGUUGUCCAAAGCACUACACCACGGACCAUAGUCAAAAUUUUUGUGACUAUUGAACCAAUUCGUCAUGAAUUGCCAAUCGAAAAUCUUGAAUUUGGUCAAUGUUCUCAAAGUCCUGACUUCUCCAGUUCAGAUGAAUCAAGUCCGUAUUUUUCAAAAACUCCAAAAUAUUUAAGGAAACCGCUAUUAAAUGUCACUGACUGCGGUUCUCCUAAGACCGAAGCAAAAAGAGCUUUUAAAGAAGAAUUUUGUUCCUGUGGGAAGCAAUGGGAAAUUCAUUCAAAACAAAAGAAAUUUGUGAAAUGUCCCAAGUCAAAGAGUCCAUAAAAACUUGUUUUCUCAAAUUAUCACUUCAAAUCAACUAUUUCCAACAAAACAAAAAGGAAGGAGUUUACUGUUUCUGACACUGCUCAAAAAUCAUCUGACCCUAAGGAUAAGUCUUUUCGGUCAAAUGGUUUUCAGGUCUAUUCUUUAGACAAUCCAAAAUGGAAAGGUAUUCUACCUACUCCAACCGUUCCAAAGUCACUUUCAAAAACUCAAAAAUGGAAAGGAAUUUUGCCAACUCCGACACUUAAAAGUCACCUCAAGAGUUUAAUAAAUAACCUCAUAAAAGGCCUGCACGUGUCUACACACCUGCAAGACCUGCAAAAAAACAUCUUUUCAAAACAGACAAACAAAAAGGUCAAAUCUUACAAUCCUCGGACUGGAUAAAAGCAUACUUUUUCUUCAAAACCACAGACUAAGCCAAAUGUCAGGGGAAAUGAUAAAAAGUUCACGUGUCAAUGUCAGUGUCAAAAGAUCUUCUCUUAUGACAAAUCUCAUCAUUCUCAAAAGACUCAUAACUAUCCACAAUCUCACAAUACUCCAAAAAAUCUCAAGCACCCAGGACUAGGCUUGAAAGUUGACUUAAAACCUGUCCCUGCCACCUCACAUCAUGCAUCGAUUAAUACAUCGUAUGUGACUCCGGGCUCCAAACUCGCUUGGGUGCCCAAAUUAACCACUUAAUUUUUGUAGGCGUUGUGCAUGGAGGAUCAGGAAGAAGAAUGAUUGAUCGAUAGUGCCUGCUCCUUGCACAUGACCGGAAGGUUAGAAUACCUUCGGGAUUUUAGGCCUAUAUGCAAUGGUGGAAAUUUUACAUUCGGCAAUAAUGCGAAUGGAAUUAUUUGAGGUGACGGUGUACUUCCUACGGGCAACUUCUCAAUACAGAAGGUUGCUUAUGUAGAAAGCCUUAAACACAAUCUCAUCAGUGUUGGCCAACUAUGUAAGGUAGGCCAUCGAGUGGAGUUUGAUGAUCAGUUUUGUUACAUCAUGAUGAGUGAUAGAAGCACUUGCUUAAUCAAGUCACGAUCUGAAGGAACCAUGUAUCCUCUGGAUGUCUCUCUCAUCAUUGGAAAACCGCAGCUGUGCUUCCUCUCCAAAGUUGUAUCCAAAGAUAGCUGGUUAUGGCACCGCAAGCUCGCUCAUCUUAACUUCAAAUACAUCAACACCUUGGUCACAAAAGAACUGGUUAGAGGACUACCCAUUCUCAAGUUCAGCAAUGACACUCUAUGUCCUGCUUGUGAAUGUGGUAAGCAGUCAAAAGCAAGUCACCCUAUGGUGAUUGGCUCUUCUAUAUCCGAACCACUUGAACUUCUGCACAUUGAUCUCUACGGUCCAUCAAUCGUAGCUAGUCUCCAUCAUACAAAAUAUUUACUGGUUAUAGUUGAUGACUUCACUCGAUUCACUUGGGUUUUCUUCCUCAGAAUCAAAUCCGAAACACCGCAGAUUCUAAUAAACAUCAUCAAAGAAAUAGAACUCCAGAUCAAGCUUCCUGUAAGACGCAUCCGCAGUGAUAAUGGCACUGAAUUCACUAAUCAUCGUUCAACAACUUCUUUGUGUCAAAAGGUAUCUCUCAUAACUUUUCAGCUCCGUAUACAACUUCUUUGGGCUGAAGCUGUAGCAACCGCAUGCUUUGUUCAGAACCGAAGCAUUGUGUGCAAACGCUUCAACAAGACACCGUAUGAGGGCCUCAACAACCAAAAGCGAAAUUUUCGUUUCUUUCACAUCCUUGGGUGUAGAUGUUUUGUGAUCAACAACAGAGAUCAGCUCAACAAAUUUGCACUGAAGUCUGAUGAAAGCAUCUUUCUUGGUUACUCUACGAACAAGGUUGCUUAUCAGGUCCUUAUCAGAUGUACGAGUCUUAUCAUUGAAAGUUUCGAUGUGAUGUUCGAUGACUCUUUCAUCCGUAACACCCCUCCAUCUACUGAAACCACUGCCAUCAUGGAAACCAACAUUCUUGUUUCUUGAGGUCCUCUAAACCUAGUUGUAGUCAAUUAUGAUGAUCUUUUCUACCCUAUUGAAACGGAAAAACUAUCCGGAGUUCUUGUAUCUCCAACUGCUCAACAACAUCACACUGAUGUUUCUAGUCCAUCUCUAUCCGAAGUAGCAUCUCUCAAUACUUUCACCUCUCGGGUUAAGGGGGAAAGCUCUACUCCGGUUCAUACAACAACCAUCGAGGUUCUUGUAAUUGAUGCUCAAGCUCCCAUUCUAAGAAAAUCAUUUCUAUCAAACAUAUCUUUGGAUUCGGAUGAUGAAAUCAAAGAGAAUAUUGACACUCGAACCGACUCAAGGAUCAUUACUCACCCAUCAGCAGCCCAGGUGGAACCUUCUCAGGUUCCAGAGGAACUCCCUUUAGUAAUCUAGGGGGAACCUCUCCAAACUACUCAAGAAAAUGUCAUUCUCUCUCCAACAAGUCAAGAUGAUUCUGCAGGCUGUUCACAAAUCCAGGGGGAACUUCCUUCCCCAUCCGAGGCAACCUCUGAUAUUGAAAACAUUCCUUCUACCUCAGUUGCUGAUCAUCUGAUGGCUCGUCUACAUGUAUGGACGAAGGAUACCCACCAGGUCAAAUUAUUGGCAACCCAUCCGCAUGUAUACAAACUCGAUCUGCCAAAGAUUUAUCUGAUCAUUGUCACUAUGCAACAUUUAUGUCCGCAGUCGAGCCUCGAUCUACCAAAGAAGCAUUAUUGGAACCAAAUUGGAUUUCUGCAAUGCAAGAAGAACUGGAAGAAUUUGAAAGAAACAAAGUGUGGCAACUUCUUCCCAUUCCACGAGGCCAUACUAUUGUUGGUACAAGAUGGGUGUUCAAUAACAAGUUAGAUGAAUCUGAUGCGGUUAUCAGAAAUAAGGCAAGACUAGUUGCUAAAGCUAUACUCAACUAGAAGGCGUUGACUAUGAUGAAACAUAUGCUCUGGUGGCUAGAAUGGAAGUAAUCCGGAUCUUCUUAGAAUAUGCUUCCCACAAAAAUAUCAAGGUACAUCAAAUGCAUGUUAAGAGUGCUUUUCUCAAUGGGGAAUUGAAAGAAGAGGUUUAUCUUCAACAACCUCCCGGCUUUGAAAGUAUCGAGUUCCCUGAUCAAUGCUACAAGCUUCAAAAAACAGUCUACGGUCUGAAGCAAGCCCCUAGAGCUUGGUAUGAGACUCUUUCUGAAUCCCUAGUCUCUUCUGGCUACAAAAUAGGACUGAUUGAUCCCACGCUAUUUAGGAAAGCAAAUAGUACUCACCUUAUGCUUGUACAAAUAUACGUGGAUGAUAUCAUCUUCGGAUCGUCUGAUCAAGGAAUGUUUGAUGAAUUGCUAAGCUCAUGACAAACAAAUUUCAAAUGAGCAUGAAUAAAGAGAUUAACUUCUUUUAGGUCUUCAAGUCAAACAAAUUCAGCAAGGGAUAUUCAUUCAUCAAGAGUAAUACACCACUAAACUUUUGGAGAAAUAUUAUAUGGACAACUGCUCCUCGGCUAAGGUUCCUAUGGCAUUCGGAUAUAAGAUCUUUGAUGAUCCUUCUGGCGAAUAUGUGGAUUACAAGACUUAUAGAGGUAUCAUUGGCUCUCUAAUGUAUCUCACCGCAAGCCGACCGGACAUCGUCUUUGCAAGUGGUGUAUGUGCAAGGUAUCAGGCUAACCUAAAAGUGUCACAUAUGACCGCAGCCAAACAAAUUCUACGGUGCCUAAAAGGAAGCAACUCUCUUGGUCUAUGGUACCCCGCAGGCAAUGACUUCAGUCUUCAAGAGUUUACUGAUGCGGAUCAUGUCGAAUUCAAACUUGAUCUGAAAAGUACAUCUGGUGGAUGUCAAUUUUGAGGUGGUAGACUUGUCAGCUGGUCCUCAAGAAAACAAAGUCGUGUUUCAUUAUCUACCGCAGAAGCAGAAUACGUGGCCGCAGCCAGCUGUUGUUCUCAAGUCCUUUGGAUGAAGACACAACUCUUAGACUACGGAUAUAGAAUGUUGCGGAUACCAAUCUAUUGUGAUUCUGAAAGUGCCAUAGCGAUUUCUCAUAAUACUAUUCAGCACUCCAAGACUAAACAUAUUGAACUACGGUAUCACUUCAUCAAAGACCACAUUCUGAAAGGUAAUAUUGAACUCAUCUUUGUCCCUACUCAUGAAGAGAUUUCUGAUGUGUUUACAAAACCACUUGACUCUACCAAACUCAAUAUGUUCUUACAAAUGUUAGGAAUAAUGAAUCCGGACCCUAAAUUCUUCUUGAAUUGACAGGCACGGCAGACCUUCCUGGUCUCCAUUACGGUUUUAACUGAAAGUUAUUGAUAAUAGAUGAUUUUGGAACACCCUGUGUACCACAGUCAAUGUAUCGCAACCAUAUAUUAUAUGUAUCUUUCAUGGGUCUUUCUUGUUUGUUAUUACUAACUUUUGUACUAGUGCUCUUCUCAGUUUCUCCUACUGCAGUCAUCUGCAAUACCAAAGAAGCAAUCCGCAAUGAUGUGUUCUUCCACAGUCACAUUAAUUGAUUUACAGACGAUUCAUUCUUUUUGAAAAACAAAAAAAAAACAUAGCAUGCUAUUUAAUGAUCCUUCAUUAAAUAAAACAUUAAAUAAAAACAUUCCUUUGAGAAACUGUCACAUUCUUUUCUCCCAAAACCUAGUGUCAGACCUAUUUUAGGUAUGAUGACAAAACAAGAGAUUUUCCAAAUCAAAUCCUCUAAAAUGUCUUUUCCUAUUACCCCAAAUCAUCACAUCUGUUACAACUUCUACUUUAUCCAACGGAUUUUUCUCACCUCCUCCACACGUUCUCAAGACGUGAUUCUACAUCUGACAUUUCAUUAAAUGCAGAGUUCAUUUUGGUUAAUCCCAAUUUCAAUCUUUAUCCCUUGUUGUGAAUAUGUGGUUAAGAAUAAAGAUGCUCUUUCAAAGAUAAACCCAAACGUUUUUUUUACCCAAUUUCACCUAGGUCAAAAACAUAAACGUUUCCGGCUCCAAUAAACCACUAUAAAACCCUUUUGUCCUCCACAAAGAAACCUUUACGCUCUCAAAACCCUCAAUCCUUUUCUGCAUUCUUCAAGCUUUUUCCAACUCAACAAUGGUGAAAUCUGGCGCUUCCAAGAAACAAUCUAAACCUUCUGGAUCAGUGAACCCAACUGGUUCAGACUCUCCCAUUAUUGCCUCGAGCAAUUUCAGAGCGAUGUUUGACGAUCAACCCACAUACAAUGGUCCAACUAAACUGAUGAUCAUGUUCUUGAAGAAUCAUCCCCUGUUUGGACAUUUUGAUGCGUUCACAGACAUUGUUCCACUUUCCACUCUCUACAAGUGUGCUUUUUCGGCCUAUCGCCCAAUCGAUAACCCUCAAGAAGUCCACCUAAACCUUGUCAAUGAUUCCUUGGUCAUCCUGACCAAAGAAAAAUUCCUUUCAACCGUUAAUCUUGUGAUUCAUCCCUCUGUUAAGUUUUUCACACAAUCAAUGGCGGACAUCACCUCUGCACUGUAUUACAUGGUCUAUCAGAAGAAGAUAAAAGGCAUUCGUGAGUUCAAGAAGAACCAAUUGCCUGUGUUCUGGCAUUUUUUUUAUCACUUCAUCAUUCGCAGUCUGUCCGGCAGAACCGGAGGCACGGACAACAUGGGCUUAAAGCUAUUUAACUGGUUUGGAGCAUCUACAAAGGACGCGAUGUGAAUUACGGUCAGAUCCUUUAGGAUGAAUUUCUGCAGUACAUUCCCAAGGAGAGCCCAAGGCAGAACCCUUCCGAGCUUACUUUUGCUUGAUUCUGGUCUCUCUGCAUAUCUGAAUUGCAUGCAGAUGCAAUGAUUGACAUGGGUGAUGACAUCAAUUUCUUCGUCACCAAAGACUUAAAAAGGUACAACCCUUCCUCUAAUCAAACCAUUUUUGGUCCCAUCCGCAGACUCCCUACAUAUAUUCUUACUUCCCUUGGUCUCGAGAUUGCUGAUGUCUCAGACCACGUUGAGGCUACGAAAGGUAUUGACCUAUACCUUCCCACCCCGCCUCUUCCAUCCGUAGCCUUAAACCCUGAAGGUACCGCAGUUCCUUCCUCCACCACUCUUUCUAACGUCUCUCAAAGACGCAAACAUAAGGUUUCUUCUCUCCAUGGUCCCCGCACCACAAAGAAAUAUAGCACUCCCAAAAAGGAUGCCCCAAAACCAUCUAAACCAUCAAUGAAAAGAAAAUCACCACCCGUAAUCACACUGCUGAACCGAGUCGCCAUGACUCCGGUAAUGAUUCUGAAGAGGAUAACCAACCCAUUCUAUCCUCAAGAAAUGGAAAGCUAAUCACACUAGCCAAAUGCAUGUUCGGAACGAUACCUCAGCCUCUCAAUAGGCUCCGGUAGUCCUUGGGAUGCCUGCACAUCCAUUCGACAACACUAUCUUUUUCCUUUCAGACUCAGAAAGUGAGUCUGAAUCACAACAAAGAGGAGACUCCCUACUAGUACAUUUCCAAAGGGAUAAUCUAGUUCUCGGCCUAAAGUCUCCAGGGCUUCCCGACUGCAUAUUUUUUCACUCGAGCAGUUGAACUCCAUCCUGUUGAAUGUCACCCAAACACUCCAAACACAUUCCCAUCCACAGGGCACUUCUUCCGCCUAUGCCAGAACUGAGCCGAGGCCAAACUUGACCACGGGUAAAGGAGACCACGGAAGCUCAGGAAAUCCUACUCUGGUUACAUUACAAUCAGGUGGUUUAGGCACGGUGAGCACAAAUGUGCAAGCAUCCGUAUACCCAAGGGACACCUUGGUGCGACUUACAGGAAUUGACGGAGAAGAUUCUAAUGAUUCUUGGAGCAGAUAUCAACCCUCUAACGAGGCUGAAGCCAAGAAAUAUGCCGCUUUUCGUAGGGCGUUUCAAGCUUUCAAGGAUCAGCAUAUCAAGCAACAACAACUCAAGGAACAAGAGAUUCCAACCAUGGGCAAGUAUUGGGCAAAUGCCAUAAAAAAUGCCAAUACAUUAGCAACCGUCCUGAAGGUUCAAGAAUGGAUGUCCAUAAUGGCAGACAAAGAUCAACAAGCUCAGAAAACUACUGCUGAUCAGCAUGUCUCUCAAGCCCCACCCCCUCUCCCACUGCUGCAGGUUCACAAGAUGAAGAACCUAAAAUCGAAGUGAGCUUUGCUCCUAUUUUUGGCUUCGAUGAUGAUGAACCACAAGAGAUGAACAAACCCUCUCCUUCUGAUGACGAUAUGAUGAUGUUUGAUGAAGAUGAAGAAUCUAGUGGUUCUCAUCACUCCACUACUAUGCCAAAGGAAAAGAGGAAGAAGAAGAAGCACAUAGUCACAAGAAAGGAAUUUCUCAAUCUUCAGGCUAAGGUUGAUCAAAUCUUAGGUGCGGUUAAGCCAAAUCAACUGCAACCAGAAGACUGUCUUGGACCGUAGUCCCUGAUGGAAAGAACAGAAAGGCUGGAAACCAGAGAGAGAAUGGUUGCGUAGCGUAUGUCUCUAAAGGUUGAGAUGGGAAUCAGAUCACUUGACAAUAAUCGUCAAGCUGAUCACAAGGAGUUUAUGGAUGCUGCGGAACGCCUCAUCUCUGAGGUUACCGCAAUCAAAAACCGAUCUUCAAGCAGCCAUUGCGGAUCAGGCCUCACAUUCUGAGAAGUUGAUUGCUUAGACUCAUACUGCUUAUGAGUCCGUAAUCUCCGUUCUUCAAACUACGAUCAACAGAAUGCAACGAUCACUAUCUGCCAACUUCCAUGGUCCGGAAAUUCUUCAACUCACCAAGGAGAUUCAUAAACUACUCUUCAAUUCCUCCAUUCCCAAUAAUCAACAAUUGGAAGAAGACCUUAAAGCACAAUUUCAAAUGGUGUUUGACAGGGUUGAUGGCAUUCGUCAAUGGCUUAAGGAGGCUCCGGGUCUGAACUCCUCAAGAGGGGGAAGUGAAGAAGUCCAUCAUUCCAACCAAUGGUGUUUUACAGGGUUGAUGGCCUUCAUCAAUGGCUUAAGGAGGCUCUGGGUUUGAACUCCUCAAGAGGGGGAAGUGAAGAAGUCUAUCAUUCGAACCAAUCCCUCUCACAUCAUCAAACUCCCCCAGUCCCUACUGAAAAAAUUCCCACACCACAAACAUCACCGCAACAUGAAAAACAACCCUCACCGCAACCAUCUCAUCACACUCCACCUCACAACUCCCCUCUUCAUGUUGAAAAUACUCCUGAAAAACCAAAGACUCCCCCGCACUUCAAGAAUCUGGAGGAGUAUAUGUCUUCUCCAAGCUCAAACGACUCUCCUGCCACUACUCAAAGAAAAAGUGAUUGGAGGGCAGCCAAGCUAGCUGAAGAAGUAUGGAGACUUUGCGGAUUUGACACGGUUAUGGAUGAGUCCUUGAUAAACUUUUGGAUCAAUCCACAUAGAAGACUACUUGAUGAUGACUACGUCCCUCAUCUUACCUAUGCGGAGCCCCUCUCAGACGGUUACUGGGAUGUCCCAAUCUCACCGAAUACCAGAUACUUCAUUGUAUUUGAGCAGUUCGACCGCAACCUUCUUGAUGACAAAAGACUUCCGAUGGAGUUCGAGAGACUUAGCCAAUUCUAUGCUAAGCAUGCCUCUCCGGUCGAACAUGUAUGGUCUAACGAUUGACCAUCCGCAGUCAAAACUUACAAGAUCCGAAAGUUCAUGAAGGCUGAGUUCAUCCAGUACACUCUGACUAGGAGGGAGCACGACUACAUCCACACCCAGGCUGAUUUUCCAUCUAUGUACCCUGAAGAAGUUUUUCUCAUCGCCAAGGUGUUUCAGCACAAGUCUGAGAAGCAUCCGAAGAUGAAGAUUGCACUUGAAAGGGCCGGUAACUUUCUUGAGGAAACAAUCUGUGACUUCGCCAAAAUUGAUGCAGACAUUCAUCCCAUCAUUUUCAAGAUUGCUGACUUGCCACCACUUGACCCUACACUCAUUCCUACCGAAGGCUAUGAGGAAAGAUCCUUAGGUGCAACCAACUAUCCUGAGAUGGGAGUCAUUUUCAAGAGGAAGACUGACAACGUCAAAUAUUUCAUUCCUAUGACUGCCAUGCAUCGUCUCACCAGAAAACAACUUGAGAUCUGCCGAAACGCAGUUGAAAAAUCCAAGCAUACCACUAUAGAGGUCAAGUUUGAAAUACGUAGAAGAAUCAACUGGUUAGAGAACAUCAGGAAGUUUUGGUGGAUCUUGAUCGAGUUCCUUCAACUUGAUAGUUGAUCAAAGUUAAAGAGGUCACUUAGGGGGAAAUUAUUGAAUCAAAAAGUGACCCUCUUGAACUUUAGCAACCGCAGCCUCCAAGCCACCGCAGUCAAGCAAUGUCAUAAACAAUAGUCAUUCGAAGUCUUCAGCACCACAGUCAUUAUUUUUACUUAGAUUAUUUUGUCUUUUCUGUAAAACACUCUAAUGUCAAGUAUGCCUUACAUGUCUACUCUUAGAGUUGUAAACUUGUCUCUAUAAAUAGAGUUCAUUUCUCAUGUAAUCAGUACUGUGUGAAUCUCUCAUCAAAUUCUAAUACACAUCUCAAAGUUCUCAUUCUACCUUACUUAUCCAAUCUUCUUACUCUCAUAAUCAAUCAUCAUCUCUCUUCGGAGCAAGUCACUUGUGACUUAAUCACUAAGUUUGAUCUCACUUACUAACUUGGAUUGAAUGCAUUCCUUGUUAUGAAUCUACUUAUGUGUAUACUUGAUAUAACAAUUGUUUUCACUCACAUUCCUUUACCUUUCCGCAUCUAACUCACUAACUUCUAACUCUUAAUAUUAUUAUUGAGCUAACAGAUCCUUCGAGAUUAACUAUUCCUUUACAUACUUGUUCUAACUUUUUUUUCAAGUGUGUCUCAAAGUUUUUUCUCUCAACAAUAGGUUCAUUGCUUUAUUUUACAGCAAGUAGACCUGAUAUCAUGUUUUAUGUAUGUAAUUGUGCUAGGUAUCGAGCAAAUCCAAGAGAACCACACUUGACUGUAGUGAAAAAUAUUUUUCAUUAUCUCAAGGGAACAAUUUCGUUAGGAAUGUGGUAUCCUUCGAAAUCAGGAAUUUUAUUCAAUCAUUUUUAGAUUCAGAUCUGGGAGGAUGUACGCUUGAUAGAAAAAUACAAGUGGAGGAUGUCAGUUGUUGGACGGGAAACUUGUAAGUUGCCAAUCGAAAAAGCAAACAUCUAUUGCAAUUUCAAUUGUUGAAGCUGAGUAUUUUGAAGCUGUCGCUUGCACUUUGCAAAUCAUAUGGAUUUAGAGUCAAGUGCGUGACUAUGCAAUUAAUAUGAAAAAGAUUCCAUUGUAUUGUGAUUCACAAAGUGCGAUACGUAUUUUUCAUAAUCUAGUACAACAUUCGAAAACCAAUCAUAUUCCACUUCAUUAUCAUUUCAUUAAAGACCAUAUGGAAGAUGGAAACACUGAAGUUCAUUUUGUAAAAACAACUGAUUAGCUUGCUGACAUUUUUACAAAACCGCUGGAUGAAAAAUCAUUUGUUAGAAUUUUGCAAGGCUUGGGGAUUAUUGUAGGAAAUUGAUUUCAAGGACUACUUUCGAAAGAAUGACAAAGAAGUGAUAAGCAAAUGUGUCGAUUCAGAGGCAAUAAUGGUUCAUUCAGAGGUUGAUAGCAUUAACCAUUCAGUGGCUACUAUUCACGUCCAGGGCUUCGAUACGCUUCGUUUUUGAAAUUUGGGAAAGAAAACUUUUGCUAGUUUCGUACAUUCUUACAUUUUUGUUUGUUCGUUAAUUCAUUUUCUUUUCGAAAAAAUCAAAAAUACCAAAAAUAUUUUCGUUAAUUUUUGUUCUUUUUGAAAAUUCAAAAAUACCAAAAAGAUUUUCUUUUGUUAUUUGUUUUAAUUUUCAAAAAGCUCAAAAACACAAAAAUAUUUUCUUUCUUUUCAAAAAUAUAAAAUCCAAAAAGAUUUUUCUUAUUUUGUACCUUCUCUAUUCUUUCUUAAGUGCAGAACCAACGAAGUUUUACUAGAGUCGUGAUUGUGUUUCUAGGGUAAGGUAGAUUUUCGACACUUUAUACUAGUUAGAAUUGGUGGGUUUUGAGCAUUCUAACACUUCCUAAGUGUACAUACAACCCUAAUAACCUUGGAUCUAUGUUUGUCUAACAAUCAUGCAAAGUUGUUUUCCAAGGUUAUCAACCUAUCUAGCAUACAUGGGGUACAAUUUUCUUUGUAUAAAAGAUAGAACUACAUACCUUGUUGUUGAAAGUGUUCCUUGAAACCUUGUGAGCCUAGCACAUCAAGUGUGAUGCCUCAAAUGCUUCACACAACACCAAAUGCAAAGUAUAAACUUGAGAGAAUACUCUAACACACUCAAAAUCGGCCAAUCCCUCUUGUUUCUCUCAGUGUAUCGCUUGUGUAGCUGAUUUUGGGGAGAGACAUGCUCCUUAUAUAGUGUGUUGCAUUAGGUAAAACCCUAAUGUAACAUGACUCUUCAUUUCUCAAUCCAUGGGUUAAAUCCAUGGAGCAUCCAUGGAGCAUCCUAUGGGUGGAACCCAACUUGAUAAUCCAUGGAGCCUUUUAGCCCAUUAUAUAAGAUAUGGAAGAUUUACAUAAUCUACCCAUAUAUUUAAUUAGUUAGUCUUUUGAUCACUUAAUUAAUUCUAAAUUAAUUCAUUAUCAAAACUAAUUAAAUAAUAUUAUUAAUAUAUUAGAACUUAUAAUAUAUUAAUAAACCAUAUGUGUUAUUUCUCUCAUUUAGUUUAUCCAAUUGCAUGGUGCCAUGCAACCCAAAUGGACCAUGCCGGGUCGGGUCAAGUAUUUACCAGAAAUAGUUAUGGACUUAGACACAUUAUCCAAUAGUCUCCCACUUGGAUAAGUCUAAUAACUAUAACUGCAAUACUUCAGGAACCGAUCGGCAAUCGUAGCUCUUUCAAGGUCUCUCGGAACUGAGAAGAUGUUGAUACGCCAUUUAAGAUAAGUGAUCAUAUAAUCCUCUGUUCUAGAUAUCAGCCGGACAAAUACAUGGAACAAUGUCUUACUUAUUGUCCAGCAGUUUGUUUCCCGAUUUCCGAUUUGUUUGACAAAGAACUUAAUUGAACACAUCAACUUAGUUCUGACCGGGCCCGGUACAUAGGUCAAAACAAAAUCAUCGAGGGGCCCAGAUAUCAGCUUCUAAUCCAAGAAGGAACAGAUAAACUUCGACUCAUAUGUUUGUUCUACCACUCAUUGAAUUACACACAAAAGCACGUUUUAUAACAUCGAGUUACCAAUGCGUUUUCGUACAAUCAAUGCAUAACCAACUCGUAAGUAACAAAUCAUAUCUCUAGGUUUGAAGACUUAUAUGAUAUUACCGUCUCACGAUCACUCGAGAUAAAAUUCCAUGAAGUGAUUCCAGUGAGCGUGGGUUGAGUCCAAUACUCAGAACUUAUGAGCACUCAUGAUUGUUGUAGCCAUGUCCAACACCUUAGACCUCUGCAACCAAUCAUGACAGUCUUGAUUCAUACCUACUUCCGACAUAUGACCGACUGUGGAGGUUUGAAUAAUAUGAUAUACCAAACAUAAUUAUUCUGGAAGUCAAAACAUGCAAAAGAAAUAUAGUAAACGAUUGACAAAAGAUAGUAACACUUUACUCAUAAAUAAACACAACUUUUAUUCAUCAUCAAUUGUCAAUUACACUUUACAAAUUUCAUAAUUUAUCUAACUACUAAAACUUAUAUCAUCCAUCAGCCCUAUGCUCCGAGCAUGCUGGAGAUGCUUAACCCUACUCAGUCCCAUCGUGAGGGGAUCUGCUGGGUUCUCAUCCGAUGAUACCCUCUUUGCCACGAGGAUUCCUUCUUCUAUGCGAUGUCUGAUAAAAUGAUAUUUUCUGUCGAUGUGUCUGGAUCUUCCGUGAUCCCUUGGUUCCUUGGCUAAGGCAACAACACUUUCACUAUCACAGAAAAUUUCCAUGCGCUCCUUUAUAGCUGGUACAACUCCAAGGUCUCCAAUGAAGUUCUUUAGCCAUAUUGUCUCCUUAGCUACCUCGCUAACUGCUAUAUACUCUGAUUCACAAGUGGAAUCAGGCACUGUCUCCUGCUUGGAACUCUUCCAAGUGAUUGCUCCUCCGUUUAAGGUAAAGACCCAACCCGACUGAGAGCAGAAAUUAUCCCUAUCAGUUUGGAAGCUAGUGUCACUAUACCCUACAAGUCUCAAGUCAUCACUCCCACCGAGGGUAAGGACCCAGUCCUUAGUCCUCCGUAGGUACUUGAGGAUAUUCUUUACCGCAGUCCAGUGUGCCUUGCCAGGAUUCCCCUGAUACCUGCUAACCAUGCUCAAGGCAAAAGCUACAUCAGGUUGAGUACACGUCAUAGCAUACAUGAUCGAGCCUACUGCUGAAGCAUAAGGUACUUGACUCAUUUCUGCAAUCUCAGCCUCGGUAGUUGGGCUUUGUGUCUUACUGAAUCUGGCGUUACUCUGGAUCGGUAACUCUCUUUUCUUGGAGUUCUGCAUGCUGAAUCUCUUGAACACCUUGUCCAAGUAUGUACUUUGACUAAGUCCAAGUAGUCUUUUACUUCGGUUUCUCAAAAUCAUUAUCCCUAGAAUAUAGGCAGCUUCUCCUAGGUCCUUCAUAGAGAAACACUUCCCUAGCCAGGACUUAACUUCCUGCAGAGCUGGGAUGUCAUUUCCUAUGAGUAGUAUGUCAUCCACAUACAAUACCAAAAAGCUAACUAUACUCCCACUAGCCUUGACAUACACACAAGAUUCAUCUUCACUCCUAGAAAAGCCAAAUUCCUUGACCUUUUCAUCAAAGCAAAGAUUCCAUCUGCGAGGUGCUUGCUUCAAUCCAUAAAUGGAUUUCUCAAGCUUACACACUCUAUUAGGGUACUCGUUGCUGACAAAACCCUCUGGCUGACUCAUGUAAACAUCUUCAGCCAACUUUCCAUUAAGGAAAGCGGUUUUGACAUCCAUCUGCCAUAUUUCAUAGUCAUGAAAUGCAGCUAUGGCUAACAGAACCCGAAUAGACUUAAUCUUGGCUACUGGAGAAAAGGUCUCAUCAUAAUCCACUCCAGGAAUUUGAGAGAAGCCCUUUGCAACCAGUCUAGCCUUAUAAGUGUGUACUUUACCAUCCAUGUCGGUCUUCUUCUUGAAGACCCAUUUGCACCCUACUGUCUUACGACCUGGUACAUUUUCAACCAAGUUCCAAACUUGAUUGUCAUACAUGGAUUGUAUCUCGCUAUCCAUAGCCUCUUUCCAUUUAGCAGACUCAGGGCCUGCCAUGGCUUCCGUGUAGCUAUUAGGUUCAUCCAGACCUACUAGUGUCUCAUCUCUAAUAAGUGUCUCACCUUCCGCAGUAAUAUGGAAACCAUAGUAAUGCUCAGGUGCAUUCCUAACUCUCGUGGACCGCCUCAGAGAUACAGACUCGUCAAUUGGCUCAAUAGGAGUUUCCUCCUAAAGUUCAGGGCUAGGGUUUGAAGUUCCUUCACCGCUUGACUUUUGUAGUUCUUCAAGGUCAAUUUGCCUCCCACUGUCUCCUUGGCGUAAAAACUCUCCACUACUAGAAAAACAGCCUUUUACGACGCUCAUUGCAUUGUCACUAGGUCUGUAGAAGAGGUAACCAAAGGAUCUUUGUGGGUAGCCGAUGAAAAUACACCUCUCGCUUCGGGGUUCUUUCUUAUCAUGAGACUCGCGCCUCACAAAAUCAUCGCAACCCCAUAUCUUGAUGUGGUCUAGUUUGGGUACUUUACCAGUCCACAUCCCAUGAGGAAUUUUGGCAACUUUCUUUGUAGGUACCAAAUUAAGAAUAUGGGCAGCAGUCUCUAAGGCAUACCCCCAGAAUGGGAUUGGUAGCGAAGCUCGACUCAUCAUGGAACGAACCAUAUCCAACAACGUUCGAUUACGCCUCUCAGCCACACCAUUCAACUGUGGUGUCCUGGGAGGUGUCAAUUGUGAGACUAUCCCACAUUCCCUUAGAUAGUCGAGGAACUCUGAACUAAGAUACUCACCACCACGAUCGGAUCGAAGCAUCUUAAUGUUCCUGCCCAAUUGAUUCUCGACUUCCUAUUUAAAUUCCUUAAACCUUUCGAAAGUCUCUGACUUAUUCUUGAUUAAGUAGACAUAUCCAUAUCUACUGUAAUCAUCAGUAAAAGUCAAAUAAUAACGAUUAGCAUCCCUUGUGGCAUGAUUGAAUAGUCCACACACAUCCGUAUGUACAAGGUCCAACAAACCUUCACCCCUCUCACAAGAACCUGUGAAGGUUGACUUUGUCAUUUUUCCAAGUAAGCAUGAUUCGCAACUAUCAUCUGACUUUAGGUCAAACGACUCCAAGACUCCAUCCUUUUGGAGUUGGCCUAUGCGNCCUUUUGGAGUUCGCCUAUGCGUUUCUUGCUUAUAUGUCCAAGACGACAAUGCCAUAAUGAUGCUUUAUCCAAGUUAUUAUUUUUAAUAGAAUCAAUACACGUCACAUUAUUUCCUAAGUUAUCAACCACAGAUACAGUUUCAUACACGCCAUCACAAGGUACUGCUUUAAAAUAAAGAACAUUAUUAAAGAAAGCAUUAAUCGAACCAACUUCAUUAUCAAAUGAAAAGGUGAAACCUUGUUUAUACAAUGCAUGAAAGAAAAUAAUAUUUCUUGCCAUUUCUGGCGAAUAACAACACUUAUUCAAAUCUAAAUUAAACCCACUACUUAGCGAUAAAGUAUAAACUCCAAUCUUGGUAACAGGUAUAGCUUUCCUAUUCCCCAUGAUCAAGUUUAUCCUUCCUUGCUCCACAUCCUCACUUCUUCUUAGUCCCUGCAAGUCACAACAAAUGUGAAUACCACACCCGGUAUCAAGGACCCAAGAAUUAGAAUGGGGUGAGUUAUUAGAAAUGAUAGUGUAAAUACCUGCAUGGUUGGGUUUAACUUUCCCAUCCUUCACAUCUUGCUGGUAUUUUGGGCAGUUCCGCUUCCAAUGAGCUUUUUCAUGGCAAUAGAAGCAUUCAGCCUCUUUUGGGUCAGAAGAAGGAGUAAUGAAACCUUUCUUGGUUCCACUUGAAGAAGAGCCAUCAAGGGUCCGAACCUUGGUACCCUUAGAAGAGCUCUUUCUCUUCCUCCCUCGACUUUUCCCGAUUGCCAAAACCGGAGUAGAGUUUUGAGUAGGAGUGAUAGCAACCGACUUCCCCUUAAGACCUGAUUCUGCGGUCUUGAGAAGUCCCUGAAGUUUGCUGAGGGUGACUUCUUCCUUGUUCAUGUGAUAUGUCAUGCGGAAUUGAUCAUAGCACGAUGGUAAGGAAUGCAAAAUAAUAUCUAUUGCAAGAUCCUCCGGGAAGUUCACAUUAAGCUUCAGCAAACGAUCCACAUACCUUUGCAUUUUCUGCAUGUGGCUCGUGACGGAUUCCCCGUCCUUCAUCAUGGUUGUUAUCAUGGAGCAGAUGAUUUCAUACCUCUCUUGUCUUGCACUUUGAUGGUAUCUUUCCAUCAAAUCUUGGUGCAUUUCAUAAGGGUAGAAAUCCUCAUAAGACUUUUGGAGUUCCGCUGUCAUCGUGGCCAUCAUGAUGCAAGCCACUUUCGUAGCAUCCCUUUCAUGUGCCCGAAAUUCAGCGAUCUCCUGAGGAGUUGCAGUGGACUCAUCAAUCUCCUUAAGCUCCUUGUCAAGGACAUAUUCUUUGUCCUCGUAGCGGGUAAUCAUCCUGAUGUUUCUGAUCCACUCAUUGAAGUUGGAUCCAUCAAAGGUGACUUUCCCACACAAGUUCAUAAGGGUAAAGGAGCCAUUAGGAUUAGAGCCAGAAGCAUUGUUGAAAGACAUCUGAAGGAAAGAGGACAAGAUUAGUUUAGAUAUAAGAGAGUCCUUAAUAAAACACCCAAAUGUAAUAUUAAGGCUAGGAUCCAAUCACAAUAUAAUAUAACUUAGAAGAGGUAUGCCGUAAUCUAAGCUAUAUCAUAUUUGAAAGGUAGGUGAAUGACGAUUCACCAAUUUCCACCACGAAAACCGCAAUAUUUUAGUAUUAGGUUUUUGAAUGGUUCUUAGAAAUUCCUAGAUUCUUUGAGAUUCAAUGAACUUUUCAAAGGCAUGUUUCAAUCUCGAGUGUGCCCUCCAAGUUUUGUGACUGGGAUACCGAGGAUCACAAAACGAGGUGUGAAGUAACCAUGCAAAUCACUUGGUACCCUUAAAGUUUAUCACUCAAUCGAUGUGCCGGUUAACCACACACGCUCCAUCGAUACUAUAAUAAACCCUAAGUCACCCUUUACCUACCUUGUUAAGUCCAAGUUAGUGUGCCGGUUAACCACACACGCUCCACCAACGACUUAAUCAAAGUGUAAAGUGUAAUUUCAUGGAAUAGCACCUUAUUCACAUUUUUCCUAAAGUAACUAAGAUUGGGAAUUUAAUAAAACAUUUAGUUACUUUAUAAUAUUCAUCAUACUUUGAAUGAGAAUUAAUAAGUCCUUGUCUUACCCGUUCGGCUAACGACCCUCCACCGAUCAAGCAAGCGGUGGGUGAGAGUGGACACCCAUUAAGUCACCAUUUUAUAGGCAACAACCUUAUACCCACCUUAUAGACCGGCUUCGUGAAUGAGGCGUACUAGCGGUAAGACGACUUUGAUCUUAUACAUAUAUAUUAUUAUUAACUCAUAAUAUUAUAAGUAUAAGGGUUGAAUUUUAACUUUUAAAAUUCUAAGGGUUGGAACUAAAGUUUUUAACAUGACUUUACUUGUUCCAAAACUUGAGGGCAAGUUUUGUAAACUUUCAAAACUUUUCAUUUCUUGUAACUUAUGAGUUAAUUAGAGUAUUAAAAAUGAAGACUCUUCAUUUUUAUAACCCAUGUGUUCUUUUAAUGGUUUUAAAACAAAGUGACUUUUGGUUUUCCAUAACUUGAGGACAAGUUAUGGACUCCAUUAAAACACAUAAUGAUCAUGAAUUAAUCUACCACAUAGGUUACAAAUAAUUCCUAUGAUCAUCUAAACAUCAUAAGAUCAAGAACAUGAAUAUGAACACUUUCAUCAAUCAAAAAUUACACUUAAAAACUUGUAAUUUUGAUAACUUGUUGUUGUAAAUGGAUUAACAUGAAAAUUACACCAACUAAAACAAGUUUUAAAACACCAAAACAAUUUAGGGUAAUACUCCUAGUCCAUUUCCAGCAACAAGAACCGAAAUUCUGAAAACUACAGCCUCUACUCGUCGAGUGCAUGAACUGACUCGACGAGUAGCUUGCAUUUUGUCAUGGACUCGUCGAGUCCCCCCAUGGACUCGGCGAGUUCAUACGGGCAGAAAGCAGAAAACUCGAUUUUUCAAGCAGUUUGCACAAAAAUCAAACAAGCAAGCCUAGGCUCUGAUACCACUGAUGGGUUUUGAGCAUUCUAACACUUCCUAAGUGUACAUGCAACCCUAAUAACCUUGGAUCUAUGUUUGUCUAAUAAUCAUGCAAAGUUGUUUUCCAAGGUUAUGAACCUAUCUAGCAUACAUGGGGUACAAUUUUCUUUGUAUAAAAGAUAGAACUACAUACCUUGUUGUUGUAAGUGUUCCUUGAAACCUUGUGAGCCUAGCACAUCAAGUGUGAUGCCUCAAAGGCUUCACACAACACCAAAUGCAAAGUAUAAACUUGAGAGAAUACUCUAACACACUCAAAAUCGGCGAAGCCCUCUUGUUUCUCUCAAUGUAUCGCUUGUGUAGCCGAUUUUGGGGAGAGACAUGCUCCUUAUAUAGUGUGUUGCAUUAGGUAAAACCCUAAUGUAACAUGACUCUUCAUUUCUCCAUCCAUAGGUUAAAUCCAUGGAGCAUCCUAUGGGUGGAACCCAACUUGAUAAUCCAUGGAGCCUUUUAGCCCACUAUAUAAGAUAUGGAAGAUUUACAUAAUCUACCCAUAUAUUUAAUUAGGUAUUCUUUUGAUCACUUAAUUAAUUCUAAAUUAAUUCUUGAUCAAAACUAAUUAAAUAACAUUAUUAAUAUAUUAGAACUUAUAAUAUAUUAAUAAACCAUAUGUGUUAUUUCUCUCAUUUAGUUUAUCCAAUUGCAUGGUGCCAUGCAACCUAAAUGGACCAUGCCGGGUCGGGUCAAGUAUUUACCAGAAAUAGUUAUGGACUUAGACACUUUAUCGAACAAGAAUGUCCCUAGAAGCAUGAUGCAGCAUGUCAACGCAGGCCUCCAUUGACUCAAUUUGUGAUUUUGAAUGCCAUAAUGAAAAUUUUCAUUAUGAAAAUUUUCAUUAUGAAAAUUUCUUCCCAAUCAGGCUUGCAUUCACAUUAGUCUACUGAGCUACCUAACUCUUCUCAAAUGAGUUAACAGUUUUCUUUUUGGUCCAAAAAUUACAGAGGUACAAUUGAACUCAUGAAACAACCUUUUUCAUGUCAAACAUCUAACAGACUUCACACACAAUGACAUAUGUCCUAGAGGUCAUUGAUCAAACCAAUCAUCACUUAGACAUAUCAAAACUCUGUGUUUAUGAUCUUGAUUCACAAGACCGUCAUGAAAGUGAGGCCCACUUUUCUAAACUUUCAAGGAAUUGACGAAGGACUAUGUUCCUAAUUUUCAGGAAACAUUUGUUUCACUACCAAUUUUUUUAUAUUACAAAUCGUUUUUGUUUGUUAUGAGUGCUCUUGAUCAAAUGUUCGAAGCCCAUAACAUUUGUUACGCAACAAGAUCCAGCUGAAACUAAUUUUUUGUUGAAUAUGAUUUUCAUGUGGGUAUCAAUUCUUUCAAUUGUCACUUUCACAGUAAUCCAAAGCAUACUUGUCACUGACUGCACUGGUCACACAAGUCAUUUAUGUUACAAUUACUCACCUUAUGUUUAGGUUGAUAUGUAACAAAAUUUUUAAGCCACCCACGAAUUGAUUUUCAUGUGGGUAUCAAUUCGAUACGCUUCGUUUUCAAAAUUUGGGAAAGAAAGGAUUCGUUAGUUUGGUACAUUCUUACGUUUCCAUUUCUUCGUUAAUUCAUUUUCUUUUUGAAAAAUCAAAAAUACCAAAAAUAUUUUCGUUAAUUUGUGUUCUUUUUUGAAAAAUCAAAAAUACCAAAAAGAUUUUCUUUUCAAAAAUAUAAAAUCCAAAAAGAUUUUUGUUAUUUUGUACUUUGUCUUUUCUUUCUUAAGUGCAGAACCAAUGAUGUUUUACUAGAGUCAUUCUUGUGUUUCUAGGGUAAGGUAAAAUUUUGACACUUUGUACUAGUUAGAAUGUCCUUAGAAUCAUGAUUCAGCAUGUCAACCCAAGCCUACAUUGACUCAAUGUGUGAUUUUGAAAGCCUUAAUGAAAAUUGUGAUUAUGAAAAUUUCUUCCCAAUCAGGCUUGCAUUCACAUUAGUUUACUAAGAUACCUAACUCUUCUCAAAUCAGUUAAGAGCUUUCUGUUUGGUCCAUAAAUAACAAAGGUACAACUAAACUCAUGAAACAACCUUUUUCAUGUCAUACAUAUAACACACUUCACUCUCAAUGACAUAUGUCCCAAAGGUCAUUGAUAAAACCAAUCAUCACUUAGACAUAUCAAAACUAUGUGUUUAUGAUCUUGAUUCACGAGCCCAUGAUGAAAGUGAGGCCCACUUUUCUAAACUUUCAAGGAAUUGACGGAGAACUGUGUUCCUAAUUUUCAUGAAACAUUUUUUUCACUACCAAUUUUUUGAUACUCCAAAUCGUUUUGUGUUUGUUAUGAGUGGUCUUAAUCAAAUGUUCGAAGCCCACGACAUUUGUUACGCAACAGGAUCCAGCUGAAACUAAUUUUUCUUUGAAUAUGAUUUUCAUGUGAGUAUAAAUUCUUUCAAUUGUCACUUUAACAGUAAUCCAAAGCAUACUUGUCACUGACUGCACUGGUCACACAAGUCAUUUAUGUUACAAUUACUCACCUUAUGUUUAGGUUGAUUUGUAACAAAAAUUUUAAGCCACCCACGGAGCCUUGAAAAAGAAGCCCUUCGAUACUUCUUUAUAAGUAGUCGAUUGUAAUUCACAGGAAACCACACAAGUUGUUGAUUAUCUUUCUUAAUAAUCAACAAAGCUACCUUUGCCCGGGUUUUAUCUGCCUUUGUGUCAAAAUUUUAUUUUUCAACAUCACAGAUCCCAAAUUUUCAUUAGUUUGCUUCUUAUCUCAUUUUGUUGGCACACUGCACACACGAAAUCCUUGAGGUUCUGAGUAAUACCAACUCAGGGUGAUGAUUUCGCAAGUCUGGCAUAUGAAUUUGUUUCUAAAACGAAAAAUGAAACAGCCUAUCCUCCAUGCCGAAGGUUUUCGAUCUUAUCCACUUGGUACUCACGAAGAGUUUUUGAAGUAACUGUUUGCAACAUGGUGUGAGUUCCAAGGUACUCUAUCUGACAUGGCAUGUUCAACGACUAAUGGUGCAAGUUUCAAGGAAUGACGUGGCUUACUCUUCCAAGAAAACAUUUCGAAUUCAGUUGGGGUUACAUAUAAAAGGAAGUUAUUAUCUCCUUUUAUAAUUACGCGUUCAAAUUCUUAGACGAUCAAAAAGCCCUAACUUUCUCUAUUCAUCAAGAAUUUCUAAAAACCCUAAUCAAUGUUGGCUAAUCCAACCACCACGACUGAAGAAGUUGUAUCGCAACCCAUCAUGAAGAUCCAAAGAACCAAUUAUCAGGUCGAGGGUGAUGUAUCACUAUACACUGAGGAGUUAAAGAUGUUGAUUGCUGCUCUUCAACAUUUUGUUCUUCAUACUGCCAUGUUUAACUCCUUUGAAGUUUCGAUGACCUGGUUUUCCAAGGCUGGUUCUACUGCUUCUUACAACAAAGCUACUGAUGUUAUCUCGUUUAAUCUGGUGAAUGAAAAGAGAAUUCAUCUCGCAAAGAAGUCGUUUACUCAAAUAUUGGAGAUUCUGAAUUCACCUCCAUUCUUUAAACCAUCCAAUGCUCAGAUUCUAUUCAUGUUUAACGAGAUGGGUCAUCAACCACCACUCAUCAAGAUUAGUGAUUUCAAGAAAUCUGGUCUACCUUGCAUCUGGAAUUUCUUGGUUGGGAUAUACCUUCCUUGCUUAACUGGGCAAAGUGUAGGGCUUGACAAGGGGAGAAUGGAAGUUUAUGCUAUUGUAGCAGGAUUGUAUUAUGACUUGAAUGUAGAUUUUGCUACUCAAAUAUGGAAGGAGUUCGUUAAAAGCUUGGAAAACACGAACAUGGUGAAAGGGAUUUCAUGUGAUCGUUACUGGACUUUAAUCCUCAAGAUGGAUUUUGAAAAAGAAGAAAUUCACGUUCUUGCAGAUGAGGCUAAGGCAGAGUUCAUGAAGUAUCAUUUUCCAAAGACUGUUGAAGAUGAUUCAGAAGUAUUUCCCAAUGUUGCUCGAAUUCCUGAUGGUAUGUUGAAGAAAGUUGAUCCAACAAAGUCUUUAUUGGUGUCAUACUUGAAACAUGUUAAUACUUCAAUUGAAACUGGGAUUUUGCUAAAAAUCAGUAAUGAAGGAUCGUCUAAGAAAGUUAAGAAUCGAAGAAGGGAGAUGAUGAUGUUGUUCACGAAAAGCCAUAUCUCUAUUUGAAAUGAAAUUAUACCUUUAAAUACUUGGAAUUAACUUAAAUAUUCUGCAAUAUAAUUUGGGGAAGUUGUUAGUACCAAUAUCCUCAAUCAUAUCCAAGAUCUUGGAUCUCUAAAAUAUCUAAGGAUCCUUAAACCUAUCCAGGAUCCCAGAUCAUAAAGGAGACUCAGGAUCCCGAACAUAGAUCAGGAUCCUAAACAUCGCCAUUAUUAUUUACAAACAACUUUAAUGACUAUAUUACUUUUUUAUUUACCACAUGUGAAGAAAUGGUCAACAUAGGAAUCAUUCUCCAUGAAGAAACGUUCCAAUCACGCUUAAGAUCCAGAAAUACCAAGUCAAAGCAUGUGAAAAUACCAGCUUCGCAGGAUCCUGAAAAUCUCGGACUUAUAGUUACUUAACCUAGACUAUAUAUAAACUUGUGGAUAACACACAACUAGGCACAAUCUUUUGACACCUUACAGACUUAGAGCUAGGCAAACACUUGUAAUCGUAUUUCUAUCAUCAUCUCUAUAAUUUACAUUCAAAUCAAUAAGAUCAUACAAGGAAGGUGAUCAUUAUCACCUCCUAAGGUUUUAUGUUGGAGAUCCUCGCAAGGAUCAAUGGAUUUCCUUGUAAACCACUCGUGUUAUUUUUAUCUCAAUUUAGUACUCACAUUAGUCACAAAACCACAGCCUCUAAUAUAUUUUCGUUGACAUCAACUUAUUCGAUUUUUGACCAAAACAACAUGCAUGUUGUUUUCGGGUGAAAUCCUACCACGAUCAUCAUCAAAAGCGUAUGUGUGUAUGUUUAUGUGUUCAUGAUCUUUCAAUAGAGUGGAGUAGAAGAAGGAGAAAAUACAAGAAAAAUGGUACAACUAGAAGGAAAAGUGAAGGAGAAAUCAUUUUUACCUUCACGAACACCACAAGAUUAUGAAGAUUUUGAGUUAAAGAGUAUCUUGAGGCUAAUUCUACUAAAAAAAAUUCGUGGAAAGAAAAGAUCCGAAGAGAGGAUUGAGUGGUAGAAGACUUGGAGUGUGAGAGAUAAUGAAAAUGUGAAGAGUGUGAGGAUGAGAACUGUAGGGUCCGUUAUGUGUUGCGUCUUGGGCUCAUUCAUUAGUCCAAAUUUUGUUUCCGGAUUGGGCCUAUCCAUCCGUGAGUUAUUUUCUAGGGUUUAGUAUUUAUAGAUGCUUGCAUGCAUCUUAGUACGUACGAUUUUGGGAGUCGAUCAUUCAUAGAAAUUACUUUUUAUCGUUUGUAACCCUAGUAGCCUCUACAGCGGAAGUUCUUUGUCGAGCUCUGCUGAGGCUUGGAUCUAUUGAAUCAUUCGACGUAUUUUGAUUCACUCUAGUGUUUGAUAAUUUUGUUUACGUUUUCGUGAUUAACCUGUUUAAGAUCUUAACGAUCAAAGAGUUGUUAACUCAUCAAUUGUUUUCAGAGAGGGAGACUAUGUAAUUCAUACACAUCUCUUCUGUGAAAGAAGUGAUUAGGGUUUAUUCUGCAUUCAUUGAUAUUUAUUGAGCCGUCACUCCAUAAUUGAUGUAUCUCACUAAUUAUUCACCUUGCCCUAAUAUUAUGUAUUACAAAGUCUGAUCUCAUAACAGGUUAAACGAUCAAGCAUGGACGAUUCUCAAUCCAAUCCUAUUAACAUCUCUAACAGUAUAGAAUCAACAACCAAGAUUCCAAUUCUCUACACUCAAGACUACGUUAUUGGAUCUGAACAUAAUGGGUAUCUGAUAUGGGAAGCUAUUAUAUCUGGCCCUUUUGCUCAUUCAGGCACAUCUAGAAUCAUUAAAACUCAAAAGGAGUACAAUGAUUUGUUGAAAGAUGUGAAAGACGUUGCUCAAGACGAAAAGGAGAAGUUUCAAUGCAACAUGAAGGCAUUGAGACUAAUUCGAUUCGCUCUUCAAUCCGACACAUUUCGAGCAGAAACCAGAAGAGGUUGCUACAGAAACAUUUGAUCAUUUCAAUCAUCUUCUCAGCCAGAUGAUCAAACAUGAUAUUGAAAGGAAGCUCAUCGAACAGAAGGUCACUUUCCUGAAUGGCCUAAGAUCCGAAUGGAGAGUUGUUGUGUCAACGGUUAAAGGACACGAGCAGUUCAAAUCGUACUCGUUGGCGCAACUGGUGGGGAUUCUUAAAUCCCAGGAAAAGACAGUGCUACAAGAGAAAAGCGUGGUUUCAAAUUUGGGGUCUUUGGCACUUCUGUCCAAAGGUAAGAGUGCAGCAGAAGACGAAGAGGAUUUAAAUCUGGGAGACCACGAUUUGACAGCUGAUGACUAUGCUAUGACGGUGUCAAAUCCCAGAAGGUUCAUUAAGAAAAAGUUCCCUACCAACAAAAAUCGAAAUUGGCAGGGAAGCUACAGCUCUGCAAAAGUGAAAGAGGAGCCGAAGGUUGAAGAAUCAAAGAAGGAAGUGAAGGCUGAAGCUGACUCUGGUGUCAGUUGCUUUUAUUGUGGUGGGAAAAAUCACUAUGCAAAAGAUUGUGUGCUAAAGAAUAUGGCAGAGAAAGAUGAAGAGAAGGAUGAAGAAGCAAGUCUCCUAAAAACACUGGAGGAGAUUAAUAGGAAGAAAGCUGCUACUAAUCCCUCUAUGAAUGCUCUUAUUGUGCAGGGUUCGGUAGAUUAUGAUGAGUUCGGAGGCGUGCAGGUGUGGUCGACUGACUCAAAAGAUGAUGAAGUGAGAAAGCCUUCUCAUGGAAAGGCUUAUGUAGCAAAGAGUGGUGAGGCUGAUGGAAGAUGUCUGAUGGUAUUAAAUGUAUCUCAGAUGAGGGGAUACAACAUUGAUGGUGGAAAUGAAGAGGCCAAGGAGCGAGAGGACUUGUGCUUUACAGCGAAACAUCUCAGUGUGCAGAUCAGUGAGCUAGACGAACUGAUCAAGAAGGUACAAUCUAUUUUUAUUUCAUUUUAAAUUCCACAAAAAUCAUAUGAAAAGUAAUUAAAUAACUUGAAUUCAAGAAUUUCAAAUCUAGAUAGUUGUUUCACUCAAACACGGGUCACAAAUUCUAAUCUAACUGACCAAAUAAGCAGGGUGUCAUCCAAGAGUGAGGAGUGAAGGAUAUGGAUAGAGCAGAAAGAGUUGGAGCUAGUUAAGUCUAGGGAUGAGAACAUUUAUUUGCAAAGAGACAAUCUCAAAUUAUGAAAACAGAGGAAUGUUUUUUGUUUAAUUGCCAAAAGGCUUUAUGCUAACAUUACUCAGCUGCAUUUAAACUGUGAAAUAGGACAAAAGAUACAUCACAUGAUUUUAUCCUUCCUUGAGUUUAAGGAGGAUGAAAUCGAUGCCAAAGCAUACAACUAUGAAAGUGUUGUAUCUUCUGAUGAUGUCAAUCCUACUUAUAUGUAUGGUCUGGACAAAAUUGAAUCUUUUAUAAAGUCCAAAGACCAUAAGGAUAUUCUUAAAAAUCUUUUGGAUGAAAAUGAUAAGUUGAAACUCAGGGCCGAAACCAUACAAAAAUUUGACUCAUUGAGUACCAAAUUGAGUUCAGAAAAUAAAAUUGAUGUUGAAAAUGCAUCUGAACUUAAUGAGGACGAUGACAUGAGUGUUCCGAGUUCAUUAGGAGCAAACCUGAAAACCACAAAAACCUGAUUUCUGAAAAUUAUGUGGAAUUCGCUCGUUUGUCUAAAACUAAGUUCCCAAUCCUUAAAGAAAAGGUCGUUAUGUUUCAAAAGGUUAGAACAACUCCCAAUCAGGUUUAUAAGGUCACAAGACUAACCGAACAUCAGACAGCCGAAGUCACUGCCAUAGUGAAUGAAGCUAAUGAAGAUGGUUGUGAUGAGUUUUUCUGGUCUGCACCAAUAGACAACACAGAUGAAAUAGUCGGUUUGUCGGAGCGAACAUCAUGGAAGGCCAAAGGUAGAUAUAUGCCCGAACCUCUGAAUAAGCCUACCAACUUUGACGUACCAAGUUCCAGUGGCACAAAAGAGAUUCCAGUGGAAGAAGUCACCUCAACUAGCAAAACCUCUUCCAUGAAGAGUGAACCUGUUACUAAGAAGCUGAAACAAAAGGCAAAUAUCCACAGACAACCAAAACAGGUGAAAAAUCAAAAGCUGUAGAGAAACUUGAGAUACAAGAAAAAUCUCUCAGAGCGAAAGAAGUUUUGGCGCUCCCAAAAUCCUCACUACACUCACUUUGACAAAAAUUCUAAGUCAAAAGGAGAAGAAAACAAGAGUAAAAGGAACUUCGAAUCACCGAUUCAAAAGAACCAGAGGAAGACUUUCGGGGCACAGAAAGAACAAAACCAAAAGGAUAGGUUCAGUCCCGAAAGUAACAACAACCAAAAAGUUGGUUUCAGUCCACCAAAAAACAACAGGCAAAGACCAGAUUUCAGUCCGUCAAGCUUUUACAAUAAAAGAACUAGUUUCGGGCCACCAACCUACAACACCUGAAAAUCCAGCUUCGGUUCAUCUUUAAACAGCAACCGAAGGUCCAGGUUCGGUCCCUCAAAUGACCACAACCGAAAGGGUCAUUUCGAACCUCAAGUCAGGAAAGAAUCUCAUUCUAAUAUCUUUUCCUCUAAUUCUUCUUGUUCUCAAUCUUCUUCUAAGCCUAAGUUUGGUCCUACACCAAAUUCAAGAUCGUCAAAGGAUUUCAAAGGAAAAAGGAAGAUUUCCUCAGCAAAUGAAGACCGAAAGCAGGCUAAAGUCCAAACAGCAGAACCUGAAUCCAAAAUAUCUGCAUCUAAUACUAAUAAAAUCAAAGUAUUUACUAUUAAAAGGAAAGAUGAAACAACCUUAAUAAAACGAACAUAUCUCGUUGAUGUUGCUCUUACUAUUCCUGUUUCUGUAAAAGGCUCACGUGGACCCAAGAAACUUUGGGUUCCUAAAUCUGCCUAAUUUUUGCAGGUUAUUAGUGACGAGCAGUUUGACGAAGAAUGGUACAUAGACAGUGGCUACUCACAUCACAUGACAGGAAGGAAUGAAGAGCUAAGGGAGUUUCGUUCUCUUCAAAAUGGUGGCGUAUGUAGAAGGGUUGCAGCAUAAUCUCAUCAGUGUAUCUCAACUGGUGGGAGGUACCGGUCUCAAAGUCUCGUUCGAUGACGAAGGUUUAGAAAUUAUAGAGAAGAAAUCCAACAAAGUCAUUCUCAAAUCAGAUCGAAAAGGUGAAAUGUUCCCUCUGAAUCUCAGACCAAUCAAAGUUUAUCCAGCCAUAUGUCUUUUGUCCAAAGCUCAUUCAGACGAAAGUUGGUUGUGGCACCAAAGGCUUUCACAUCUCAACUUCAAAGACAUCAACAAGCUUGUCACCGGUGGUCAUGUUCGGGGUCAUCCAUUGCUUAAGUUCGAUCGAGAACACUUAUGUGCGGCAUGUGAAAUGGGAAAAGAAAGUCGUCAAAGUCACGCAACCAUCAUGAACACCAAAGUUGUUGAACCACUUGAGUUGCUUCACAUUGAAUUAUGUGGUCCAUCAUCAAUCGAGAGCAUUGGCGGUAACAAGUAUAUCCUUGUUAUUGUUGAUGACUUCUCACGGUUUACUUGGGUAUUCUUUCUAAGGCACAAAUUUGAGGCGACUCCCAAGCUGAAGAUCUUUAUCAAACAAGUCGAAGUGAAACUGAGGAAAGUCGUUCGAAACAUCAGGAGCGACAAUGGACUGGAAUUCAAGAACAAAGAAUGUGAAGAUUUCUUAACUGAAAAAGGCACCAGUCACAAUUUCUCAGCCCCCUAUACACCUCAACAGAACGAAAUUGUCGAAAGGCGAAACCGAUCCCUAUACGAGGCGGCCCGAACCAUGUUGAGCUUUGCUUUUCUUCCCUUAUAUUUCUGGGCUGAUGCUAUUGCUGCAGCAUGUUUUACUCAGAAUAGGUCUUAUCUCAACAAGCAUUUCUCUCUCACUCCGUAUGAGAUUAUUAACAACAGGAAGCCGAAUGUCAACUUCUUUCACAUGUUCGGUUCCAAGAGCUUCAUCUUCAACUCCAAAGAACAUCGCAACAAGUUUGAUGUCAAAGCUGAUGAAGGAAUCUUUUUGGGAUAUUCUCUUACUUCAAAGGCUUACAGGGUUUUGAAUAAGCGUUCUAAAAGAAUUGAAGAAACCUAUUAUGUGACGUUCGAUGACAAUUACGUCAAGAAGUUAAAGUCUACCGAAGAAGCAAUUGGGGAGAUUUUCUCUCAAACAGGUCAAGUCACCGCCUCAAUUGCCAAUUUAUUUGACCAGUUCAUAGACUUAUUUGAUGAACCUGAGAAAGCCACUCUUUCGGAAGCCAAGGCAGCAGAAUACAAAAUCGAUCACCUUAAGCAGAUUAUCGAAGAUGCGGCCAAAAAAAUGGGAGAAGGAGAACCAGUUCUAAACGAACCUCCCCAGAGCGGUACUUCAAAGGCUUACAGGGUUUUGAAUAAGCGUUCUAAAAGAAUUGAAGAAACCUAUUAUGUGACGUUCGAUGACAAUUAAGUCAAGAAGCUAAAGUCUACCGAAGAAGCAAUUGGGGAGAUUUUCUCUCAAACAGGUCAAGUCACCGCCUCAAUUGCCAAUUUAUUUGACCAGUUCAUAGACUUAUUUGAUGAACCUGAGAAAGCCACUCUUUCGGAAGCCAAGGCAGCAGAAUACAAAAUCGAUCACCUUAAGCAGAUUAUCGAAGAUGCGGCCAAACAAAUGGGAGAAGGAGAACCAGUUCUAAACGAACCUCCCCAGAGCGGUACUUCGGUCGAGGGGGAGAAUCAAUUCUAUUCAAAUCAACAGGACUCACAUAUUCAAGGGGAGAAUCCAAUCUUUGACGCACCCGAAUGUCUAGUAGCACCCGAUAGCCCAGCUACACCCGAAAGUCCAGUAGCACCCGAAAGCCCAGCUACACCCAAAAGUCCAGUAGUGCCCGAAAGCCAAGCUACACCCAAAAGUCCGGAUCAGCCUGAAAGCCUAGUUGAAGAAAUAAUUUUUGGGUCAAACCCAAAUAAUUUGUCAUCUGUCGAGGGGGAGAAUUUUGAUAUGCUCUACAACGAUGAUACAUAAUCAGAAUUAGAAGAAAUGGUGAAUGAUGAAUUGGAUCUGUCCUAUGACCUAAAUUAUCCUUCUCUCACCAAAUGGACCAGAGAUCAUCCUGUAUCUCAAAUAGUGGGUGACGCAUCAGAGAAAGUUCUAACACGUUCACAACCGAAGGCGAAACAAACUGCUUUAUUCUCCAAAGUAGAGUUCUGCAUGUUUAAUUCUUUCAUAUCCGAAAUUGAGCCGAAGACCGUCAAUUUUUCCCUUGAUCAUUCUGAUUGGGUGCAAGCAAUGCAAGACGAACUCAAUGAGUUUGAAAGAAAUAAAGUCUGGAGACUCAUUCCAACACUAAAAGAUGCCUCGGUUGUCGGUCUCAAAUGGGUGUUCAGGAACAAAAUGGACAAGGAGGGGAACGUAAUCCGGAAUAAGGCUCGGCUUGUGGUAAAAGGAUACUGCCAGGAAGAAGGAAUUGAUUACAAAGAGACAUUUGCUUCGGUUGCAAGGCUGGAAUCCGUUCGAAUAUUUUUUACCUAUGCUGCACACAAGAAUUUUGAGGUCUACCAGAUGGAUGUGAAGUGCGCUUUUCUGAAUAGGGAACUUGAAGAAACUGUGUACGUGGAGCAACCUCCUGGUUUCGUGAAUGAAAAGUAUCCAAAUCACUGCUACAUCUUAGAUAAGGCGGUUUACGGUCUGAAACAAGUACCUGGGGCAUGGUAUGAAACUCUAACUAAAAUUUUAAAGAUGUCUAAAUUCAAACAAGGUUCGGUUGACCCAACCUUCUUUCGUAAAAUGGAAGGUAACCACCUUAUGAUAGUUCAAAUCUAUGUCGAUGAUAUCAUCUAUGGCUCAACGAAUCUUAGCCUCACAGCUGAAUUCAGAAAGUUGAUGGAGACAAAAUUUGAAAUGAGCUCAAUGGGUCCGAUUAACUUUUUCCUUGGUUUAAAUAUUAGACAGGUAACUGAAGGCAUCUUUAUCAACCAGGAAGCAAAUACCAAGACUCUUCUUGCUAAAUUCGGCAUGAUGGGAGAUUCAAAGGUCAAAGUCCCUAUGGCAUUUGGUACCAAGCUCACACCAUCUUUGGAAAAACCGGCAGUUGACAUAACGCUAUAUCGCCAAAUGAUUGGUUUCCUAAUGUACCUCACAGCUAGCAGGACUGAUAUAAUGUUUUCUGUGUGCUAUUGUGCCAGGUUUCAAGCAAAUCCUCGUGAACCACACAUGCUAGCAGUGAAGAAUAUACUCCAGUAUUUGAAGCGAACCACCUCUCUCGGUCUCUGGUAUCCCUCAAACUCAGGUUUCUUUGUUCAACCCUACUCAGGUUUCUGAGAGACCUUGAAAGAGCUACGAUUGCCGAUCGGUUCCUGAAUUAUUGUAGUUAUAGUUAUUAGACUUAUCCAAGUGGGAGACUGGUGGAUAAGGUGUCUAAGUCCAUAACUAUUUCUGGUAAAUACUUGACCCGACCCGGCAUGGUCCAUUUGGGUUGCAUGGCACCAUGCAAUUGGAUAAACUAAAUGAGAGAAAUAACACAUAUGGUUUAUUAAUAUAUUAUAAGUUCUAAUAUAUUAAUAAUAUUAUUUAAUUAGUUUUGAUCAAGAAUUAAUUUAGAAUUAAUUAAGUGAUCAAUAGAAUAACUAAUUAAAUAUAUGGGUAGAUUAUGUAAAUAUUCCAUAUCUUAUAUAGUGGGCUAAAAGGCUCCAUGGAUUAUCAAGUUGGGUUCCACCCAAAGGAUGCUUCAUGGAGUUAACCCAUGGAUUGAGAACUGAAGAGUCAUGUUACAUUAGGGUUUUACCUAAUGCAACACACUAUAUAAGGACCAUGUCUCUCCCCAAAAUCGGCUACACAAAUGAUACACUAAGAGAAACAAGAGGGCUUGGCCGAUUUUGAGUGUGUUAGAGUAUUCUCUCAAGUUUAUACUUUGCAUUUGGUGUUGUAUCAAGCAUUUGAGGCAUCACACUUGAGGUGCUAGGCUCACAAGGUUUCAAGGAACACUUUCAACAACAAGGUAUGUAGUUCUAUCUUUUAUACAAAGAAAAUUGUACCCCGUGUAUGCUAGAUAGGUUCAUAACCUUGGAAAACAACUUUGCAUGAUUAUUAGACAAACAUAGAUCCAAGGUUAUUAGGGUUGCAUGUACACAUAGGAAGUCUUAGAAUGCUCAAAACCCAUCAUUUACAACAUGGGAUACACUGAGAUUCUAACUACAGUUACAAAGUUCAAGAAAUCUUGUCUUCCUCCACAGUGGAAUGGGUUCUUCACGGUGCUGUUCAAGGGUUUGUCAGAAAGAACUGCAGGUUUUGACGGGGCUAGUUGUAUGUUUAUGAUGAUUCUCUACAGGUUAUACCACCACCUUAAUCUUGACUACGGCUCUGUGUUAUGGCAGCAGUUGAUCUAAAGUCUUGCCUCUACUUCUCGCCAUUCUGAGAUUUCUUAUGCCAGAUUCUGGACACUGGUCACAAAGUGGGCAAUGGACAAGUAUCAUGUCCCUGUAGUUGCUAAUUCUCCACUCUCCUUUAUCGGUGUUUUCCACACAACGAAGAUCAUCGUGAUUGAUUCUUCCAAGUUUCAGUUCGUUGGCUCAAUCCCUGAGUCAAUGUAUGCAUGUGAUCCAAGGGAUAGUCGCAUCAUCAAGACUUACAAGGAUUUUCUUCAUUCAGGCCCCAGAGAGCUCACUCCAGAAAUGAUUCAAUCUAUCCACGACGCUGACAUGCCUGCUCCCAAGGGCAAGAAACAAGAAAAGGGGAAAGACUAGAAGGUAGUCAAAGGAGCGAAAGGUCCUUCUCCAAGGAAGCGAAAACCUUCGAAGACAUCUCAAUCACCUCCACCAAAGAAGAGGAAAACACAGCCCAGGCGCAAACUAAUUCUUGCCUCUUCCUCCAGUGAAUUAGAGGAUGAGAGUUCAGACUCAGAGGAGUCGCUUCGAGGUAACACUCCUCCCCGUUCACCUUCACCUGAGGUACCCGUUUCAACUAAACUUGUCUCUCCUCCCCCAAUCUCCAUCUCUAUUUCCAUUUCCCCCAUAACAUCCACUACUCAUAUACCACCCACCUCUAUCCCUGUACCACCUCCUAUUUUCUCAGAAGCUACGACAACAACCACUAUUGGAGUUCGAACCAACGUAUCUGAUACGGGGGCUCAUACUUCAGCACCCAAACACACACCUGCUACUGAACAUACUUCCACACCCGAACCCACUCCCACAACUGAACCUCCACCUUCGCCUUCCUCUCCCAAUCACUCAGCAGAUAACGAGCCUGUUCUUGGAGGAGAAGACAUGACUUUUGAAUCUGUCUACUAUAGUCCGUACCAGGUUCAAAGUGAUGAUGACGAUGAUGCUCCUAUCACUAAAAAGCAUCUUAAGGAACUUCAUGAGAAAAUCGCCAGUCUCAUCGCUUCCUCCUCUUCCUCUCGGUCCACUAUCUCAGAGGCUGCCAUUUAGGGCUAGUUGAUUCGUUCACCAAGGCACAUGAAGCCUCAAUCAACUCUGCCACUGCUGCUAUCGGCGCAUCUACCAAGGCGUGUGUUCCUGCGACCGAAAAAGUUGAAAAACUAUUUGUCGAUGCUAACAAUAUUUUCAGUCUUUACAGGGAGCCGCUGAAUCCAAUGCACGAAGGUUGACUCUCUUGUCGAGAAGCUGGUCACUUCUCUUGCAUCAGAACAACAAUUCUUUGCCAGUCUUCGUCAGUCACUUGAAGCUGACAAUAAAACCUUACAGGCGACUGUUGAGGAGCGCUUGACAAAGCUGCAAGAAGAUAUUGCUUCAGAAAACUCCGUGAUGGAUGCUCUUGCUUGCAAGACCACUGCUCUAAAGGUCCAGAGUCUUCAACUUUUCCAAUCAGAAAAGGAGGUUGCAUCUCUCCGAUCUAAGCGAGCGGUCAUUUCUACGUGUGUUUCGGAUGUCCACGCCGCCCUCUCCAACAUUCUUGAAGUGCAUGAUCCUAUCAUGAACUAUUCUGUGAGGCGCACUCUAGCUGAGAAGCUUGCUCCCACCCUUGACCUACUCAGCAAAAUUGAAGGGCUUCCUGAGUUCAUGGCUCAUCCAAAACAAGGGGGAGAAGAUGUGUCUCAACCGCCUCCUACUUCUACAUCAACUAAAGCAACCGAACCUCCUCCAACAGGUCAAGCUUUAGGUUUGGGUGCUAAAGAUAAAGGGAAGAAGAUUGUUGAAGACAGUGAUGGUGAUGAUGAUAAAGAGACCAUCGCUGAUCUCUUGAAGAAACAAGGCCGAGAAAAGGAUUCAGACAUGAGUGCUCGUGUUGCCAGAGAGGCCGAGGUGAACGAAAGAAAAAUGAAGGAGGCUCAUGAUCUCCUUGAGAGUCAAAAAGCUUUAUUUCCUCUGUGGACUCUCGAGAAGCAUCCUAUGGCUCGAACCAGUGAUUUCCUUGGACAAGGUCAACUCUGUCGACUCUCAGUUUGAUAUGCCCUUGACCCGGAAGGCCUUCAUAUUUCAUGCAUUCUCCCAUGUUGCUGAUGUCCCUCAUCCUCACCCGAAGGUUGAUAGGGAGCUUGUUGAAUUCUAUCUGAGGGCUGCUCAGCCUCAGUAUCAGACAUGGAGUGCUCAGAAGAUCAUAAACGUUCGGGUCCUUAAACCUUUUCGGGAGGGAAACUUCACAAACGUUCGGUUCAAAGUGCUGAGGGGGUCUGCUAAAACAGAACAUGCUAUUUCACUUGCUGAUCUUCCCAACCUGAAUCCACAUGAUUGGAUCAUCUUGCACAACAUCCUCCUCACCAACAAAGCUGAAUAUGGGCAAAUCAUAGAUCACUUCAAAAGGAUGUUAGUUUGCUACAUCAUGGAGGUCGCCAAGAUGGAUCAGGAGAUUGCAAUUAUUUCAAGAAAAAGCCCACCAUCUCUCCAAUUGGCUCUGCAAGCGAUCUGAAUAAAAUGCAGAUGGGGAGGAUCGACCCAAAGCGGAACUCAGUCAUGUUCACAAGGAACGAAGGCCAAAAAUGUCUGUUCGCCUUGGCAGACAAGCAUCUAUACACCACUGCGUGCUUGGAACAUGUUCUGGGGAUCAUCAAUCGAUGCAAGCAGAACUCUGAUAAUGACAAGAAAUACUUCGAUGAUAUGAUCUAGUGGUACAUUCACUUCAGAAAAACCAUCCUUGCCCUUAUUCCUAGUCUGUUCGAAACCACAAAUAAAGUUCCUGCAGCUGGACCCAGCAAGCUGAAGUAGGACCUCGCUCCAAUUGACGCAAAGAGGGAGAUUGUAGGGUCCGUUAUGUGUUGUGUCUUGGGCUCAUUCAUUAGUCCAAAUUUUGUUUCCGGAUUGGGUCUGUCCAUCCGUGGGUAAUUUUCUAGGGUUUAGUAUUUAUAGAUGCUUGCAUGCAUCUUAGUGCGUACGAUUUUGGGAGUCGAUCAUUCAUAGAAAUUACUUUUUGUUGUUUGUAACCCUAGUAGCCUCUACAGCGGAAGUUCUUUGUCGAGCUCUGCUGAGGCUUGGAUCUAUUGAAUCAUUCGACGUAUUUUGAUUCACUCUUGUGUUUGAUAUUUCUGUUUACGUUUUCGUGAUUAACCUGUUUAAGAUCUUACCGAUCAAAGAGUUGUUAACUCAUCAAGAAUAAUGAUUAUGUGUUCUGGAAAGUGGAAGAGUGCAUUGGGAGAGGGGAGACUGAAACUUGAAUGAAAGAGGCUCCUCUCCCUUUUUUUAUAAAAUUAUCCAAAUAUAUAUUUGUCUAGUUUUUAGUUCAUAAAACUCUUGGAUAUUUAAACUAAUAAUUAAGGAUAUAUGUUGAUACUUUAAAUAAUAUUUUACUUGAUUAUAUUUUCCUAAUUUUAAUUAUUAUAAUAUAUUUAUUAUAAGGUUUAUAAUAAGUUUUAUAGAAUUUUUGAGGUUGAAAUUUUAAAAUUUAGGGUUUUAGGGCUUUUAGUGUUUUGUGAUUUACUAAAUCUUAGGAUAUCAAAAUAAUUUGAAAUUUUGAGACUUCAAAUUAUUUUACAAUCAUAUAACUCUUUUAUAGUUAUAAUAAUGUUUGUAAUUCGUUUUUGUCAGUUUAUUGGCAUAUUUAUGUAGUGGCUCCAAGAUUCAAGUGAAAUUGAAGACCCAAGUAUAGUAGUCAUAGUUUCAACUUUGACUUAAGUUCCUACGAGACUCGGACCUAAUUUAUACUACUAGGUUAAGUGCAUGAUGUGUCUACAUGAAUAUACAAAAACGCUCGAGUCAAGGAAUGACCCGAAUUUCGGUAGUUGUUACAGUUAAAGUAGAAAUAGAAUUCAUAUAUCAAUGUGAAAUGUAAGUAUACUAUCACUCGUUUCUAAUUGCUUCCUAGUUUCUAGUAGGGUAUGGCUUAGCCUCUAGCUACCAAGAAUAGCAUGUGUCGUUCCUAUACAUGUAACUAAGUUUAUUCAAAUCUAGAACUAUCUCAAAUAUUGACGGUUGUCAUAGUUCCCCAGUUGAAAGAAUUUUGUCCCGAAAUUCAAUUCGUGACGUAUUCUAUUAGAACUUAACUGAAUACAAGUGUAUAGUUGAAGAGUUGGUGACUUGAAGAACCUUGGAUUAACUCCUCAACGGAGAGUGAAAUCCUUUAGUUAUUAUCAGGUUAGUGUUUCCCUAAUUUAAGUUUUUCCGUCAAGAUUGUAGGGAUUUAGAAUCAUGGAAACCAUGAUCUAACCAUGGAAACCUAGUUGAAAAACACUUAUAAGUUUUUCUAAAACAUCAAUUGCAUUGAGUGUGAUGUCCACAUGAAUCCUUAAGUCGCGUUCUAAAUUAGCACUCAGUGUAAAUCCGCUGCCUAAUAAAGAAGAGAUUAGGGAGAAUUUCCUCGCUUUCGGGUUGGCUAUUAUAUCUUAAAAAUGUAUAUUCCAAAAUACGAAGAGGUAGUUAUUUUUGGUCAAAAAUCAACUGAAGGGAUAUCAACCAAAUUGUAUGCGAGGCUGUGGUGUUGUAAGUGAAGUUACUAACGAACUUAGAACAAGAUUACACAAGAGAUUUACAUGGAAAGCCCUUGAUCCUUGUCAGGAUCUCCGACAUAAAGCCUUGGGAGGUGAUAAUGAUCACUUGCCUUGAUGAUCUUAUUGAUUGAAAUGAAUAAUUACAAGGAAAAUAUAAUGAAUACGAGUAUGAGUGCUAGUGCAUUGCCAAAAAAUCGUGUGUUAUAUGAUGAAUACAAGUGAUAUAUAUAUAUAUAUAUAUAUAUAUAUAUAUAUAACUUGUAUUCAUCAUAUAACACACACUUUUUUGGCAGAAUACUAGCACUUGUACUCAUACUCAUUACAUUUUCUCUUUAAUCAUUCAUUUCAAUCAAUAAAUUCAUCAAGGCAGGUGAUCAUUAUCACCUCCUAAUGUUUUAUUUCGGAGAUCCUUNAUAUAUAUAUAUAUAUAUAGUCUAAAGCUAAUAAGAAGAACUCUGAAAAUUUUGGGAUCCUCCUAGAUCAACAUAUAAUCGUUGCAUGACUUGGUCCUCCGGGUCUUUUGCAUGGCUGUGAUGACUAUUACUUGAGAAUAUAACUUUGACUGGUUAUUUAUGCACAUGUGUGAAUGAAAAAAGGAUAUAUAGUCGUUAUAUAUAUAUUAAAAAAUAUUAGUCAGGAUCCUGGAGUAUAUUUGGGAUCUUGAAGUUCGAGGAUCCUGAGCUUUUAAGGAUCCCCUAAACUUAAGUAUCUCAUAGUAGUUUCGAGAUACAAGCCCUAACAGUAGCAUGAAUGAAAGAGAAGAAAUCGAGGGUAAGUUCCUAAAGAUACUUAAUAAAGGUAGGAAAUGAAGUUUUGGCACAUCUCAAGUGUAAAUAGUAUUUAUGUGUCGUCUACAAAAAUAAAUUAUGAAAUGGCCGAGGAUUUCCGAAGAUAUUUUUACUACUAUCGUUACUGUCACUGCAGUAAAACCAUAUUCGAAGAAUAUAUAUACUUAGAGGGUCAUUAUUGCAAAUGAGGGUGAUGAAGUUUUAAGAUAAAUUAAGUCACAUUAUCUAGUGAGCAUUACAAGUGUUUAAAAAUGAUAAGAAGUCUCACUUUUAUCAAAAUGUGUAAUAAUUCCAUAAGAACGAACAUAUAUGUGUGGCAUUCAAAUGAAGUAGUAAAAUAAUGAAGAAAUUUGUUAAAGUUAAAAGUUUAAGUCAUCAAUGAGGGAAGUUAUACAUAAAUAUUUAGAUUACCCUUUCGAAAACAAGUUUUUGAAAAAAAAAAGAAAGUUGUAAAAAUAUCGGUUAUUAGAAAUGAUGCAUUCUUAAUUUAGUGACGCUAAGACAACAUUCGUUUGGAGGAUAGGUAAUCGUAACAUUUAAACCUUUUUAUGUUUUAAAUGAAAAGAAGAAACAUAAUAAAAUGUAUUCUUCACAUAUAUUUUCUUGAUUUAGAAAUAUGAUAAGCAUAAGGGUAUUCAUCUUGUGUAUUGAUUGUAAAGAAAAUACAAUGAAAAUUGCAUUUUUAAUCAAAUUUAUAAAUUUAGAAUGAAAGAACAAAUGAAAAUAAGGAUUACUCAUUUACAAUAGAUUUCAUAAUGAAACAAAAUGUAUAUGAUAAAAGGCAUAGUUGAAUAUAUGAAGGUUGGCCAAGUCGAAAUUAAUAGCUCGGAAAGAAAAAGUAGACUUCUAGUCUACAUGCAUAUGAAUAUGGUACUAAAGGAAGUAGUUUAGACAAGAACCAAUUUAGACCAUGCAUUCUAUUAUUAUUAUGUGUGUGUGAGAUCUCAAAUCAGAUAGAGAUCUAGAAUUCAAGUGCAUGGGAAAUAAAAGGAUGGUAGUAGCAGCAAUGAUUGCUAUUGUUAAAAUUAUAAGAACAAUACUUGUAGGUAUAUUUAAAACUACGUUGAGAUGUAUUUUGAACUUCAAUCUUUGAUGUAUGUUGGUGAUUAAAUAGACAUGUGUAAAUUUUAAACUGUUUGGUAAUAACUUAUAUCCAAUUUUAAAAUGUUUACAAAUGUAGUCAAAAUCCAUGAACACGUCAAUUAAAAAUGGCAAAAUCUACCUUGUGGUGGAAAAACCCUUCAAAUGUGUCCAAAGCUUUAAAAGAAAAUUUAAAAAAUUUAUUUUUAAAUAACAUUGAUAAAUUUUACUUAAAUAAAUUUUAGAAUAAAUAAAUUUUUUUUGAAGUUAUUAAUUUAAUCACAAUUUAAAAUUUUGGAUUUAUUUAAAAUAUCGUAGAGUCAAAAUGUCUUGUAAUAUGUCGAAGUCUAAUAUGUCGAAGUCUGUGUAUUUGUCAUUUCGUAUGUUUUCUAUAUAUUUGCUAAAGCAUCUUGUUUAUGAAGCGUAAUGUCUAGCCUUAGUAUUUUUUGUACAUUCGACCUCCUAUAAAUAGCAGCUGAACAUAGAGUUAGUAGUAAAGUUUUCCCAUUUUUACUAUCGUUUUGUACUCUUGUUCAUUGGAAGUAAUAUGAGCUAAAACAAAUCAUAUUUACUUUGUGUGUUCAGAUUACAUCGUUUUUACUCUGAUUUGAUUCUUGUACUCGAUUAAACACUUCUACAAUUGGUAUUAGAGCAGGAAUCAACACUGCAUAGAUCUGAUUUUCAAUUGAAUCUCUAGUUUUUGAGUCCCGAAUGUGUCUCAAAAGUUUUCGCAUUGUUAGAUUCUGAAAAUCCUCUCUGAUCUACUUUUUUGAUUUGAUUCGCCGUUUGAAUUGUGUGAUCGAGUAAUCGAUUUUUAGUUUCUAAUCAAUUCAUACAGCCAAUUUCAAAUUUCUUCAAGUUUUUCUGAAUAAUCUCAUCCGUACGUUAAUGGCGAAUUUCAACAUGAACAUGAUGACUUCAUUCUCUCAUCUGUUAGCAUCUUCUACGAAGAUUCCUAUGUUGAUUCCAGUGUACUAUGAUCAAUGGGAUGGUCAAAUGGAGGAUUAUUUGAAUGGAUUGGACGAGGAACUCUGGAGUUGCAUUACAGGUAUCGCUCAACCUCCAUCGAAUGUUCAAACUAUUGGAUCAUCUGGAUCUACACCUGCUGUUACUGAUCAAUCCACCAUGCUAAAGAACAACCAAAAGCAUUGUUUGAGAGGAUUGUGAGGUGCAUUGUCACCUGUUGUUUACAAUUACGUUCGUGGUUGUAAAACUGCAACGUUAUUUGGAAUACUCUUAAGGAAAAUUAUCAGGGUAGCAAGAAAACGAAGAUAAAUUCUGUUAAACAGUGUCUUGUGGAGCUGAAAGAAUUCACACAAAAAGAGAAUAAAACGAUUAAAUUUUACUAUGAUCGUCUUAAUGAACUGAUCUAUAGAUGCAAUUGUUAUGGAAUCACAAGGUCAUCAAUGGAGUUCAAUCUCACUUUUGUGUUGGGACUUCGUACGGAAUGGAGGAGUGUCAGUAUGAUGGUGAAGAAUCAACAAAGCUUCGAUACUUCAUCUCUGAAUGAUUUCUAUAAUCAGUUAAAAACUAAAGAAAGUGAAGUCCAUGAGAUGGCUGAAGAGUCGAAACUUAGCUUGGAAAGUGCUUUAGCUCUUGUUUCGAAAAUGUCUGAGAAAGAAGAAGUUGAGAAAGUUGAUUCUGAGGAAGAAGAAAUUCUAAUGAAUUCUGAUGAUGAAGAGGUUGAUUUUUACUCGAACAACCGGGUUAAAAAGUUUUUCAAGAAACCUUUCAACCCCAAGGUGAAGCAAGGUGAUGCUAAGUAAGUUUUGUGAAUAUGUUUGUGCGUGAGUAGGAGAAGAAAUUCGAGAAGAAUGAUGUGAAGGCAACUGAAGCUAAAAGUGAGAACAAACUUAAAGGAGAUUCGGGCAUUGAUUGUCCUUACUGCAACAGAGCAAAUCAUUUGGCUAAUGAUUGCAUGUUUCGUAAGAAGGAAAAGAAAAAGAAUAAGGUCAAGGACGAAGCCUAUUAUGUGGAGAAAUUGGAAGAGGUACGAACAAAAGCUAAAGGGAUGCCAUUGGUUGCAAGAGGAGAAGGUGAGGAAGAUGGCACAUAUCAUAUCUGAUCUUCAGGAUCUGAUGACGAAGAGAUGCGUAAUCUGACACAUGGUGCUAUGUUCACACAAUUUGAAGAGGAUGAGGACGAAAAGGUGACUGGUCGUUGUUUCAUGACCAAAUCUGGUGACAAAUCACCGAUAACAACAAAGGUACUUUCUAUUCUUCAAUAUUUUAACAUUCCCUUACAAGCUUAUGAUUCUGGAAUAAUUGCAUUUGAUGAUACUGUUGCUUAGUUUGAUACAAUUGUGGUGUCUGCUAGUAAUGAAGCUAAGAAAUUAAACAUCCCGGUGCUAGAGACCAAAAAAUCUAGAUUCAAAACGAAGCACGUUAGAGUAUCUGGAAUUGAAAUUGAAUAAUUUGAAUAAUGAUAUGGAUUGUUUAGAUCAGGAUGUUCGAAUGUUAGUUGCUCAAAGAAACAUUUGUUGUAAUUCAGCAAAAAGAUUAUAUGCAAAAUUGACUUCAUUACACCAUUCAUCUGAAAUUAGCAAAGAACAACAUAGGAAGUUGAUAGUUUGUCUUAUGAUUCUGAGAAAACCAUAGAAGAAUUCGAUAAAGUUCCUAAUAAUCAAUUUGCUUAUGGUAUUGUUGAAAUAUAUGAAUAUUUGAAUGUUGAUGAACUUGUUGAAAUAGUGAAUGAAACUUUGACCAAAAGUGAACAAAUAAAAAAUUUGAAAACAACUGAGAAUUAAAAACUUGACUCUCAAUCUAAUUUUGCUGAUAUCGAUGAUAAUUCUGAUAGUAUUAGCGAAAUCAGUGAAAUUGAGGAGGAGGAAAGUAUUGAUUGUUCUCAGUUAUCUGUCAUUAAUGUCACAUCUAAGUCAAAAGGUAAUGAAAUUUGUAAUGAUUCAAUGGUUGAGGAUGACACUGAUAGACCCUCUACUUCGAAUGUUUGUGACAUUUAUCAUGUGAGUGUAAAAGAUAGUCAAAUGGAUAGUAGUGAUGAUGAGAAUGAAGACAAAGUGUCAGACAAUUCUAAACAUAAAAGCAUGUUUCAAACGAAACAAUCAAUAAACGAAUUGUUGUUGACCAAGUGUUUGGAGACACUGAAAAUUUUCAAAAAGUGUUCUCUGAAAAAGGUGCUCAUUUUCUAGAAACGAAUAUUGUGGUGUAUCUAAAUUUUAAUUGUUCAUAUGAUGUUGUAUUUCCGAAUCAAGUGUUUGUCACAACUGGGAAUAUUGAAAACAUCAAACCGGAGUUCAACAAAAUGGUCGAAGAAGACAACAAAAAAACAUCAGACAAAUGGUUCUUUUCAAAUCAAAGUAUUGUCGAAAAUAAUCUAACAAAGAAUUCAUAUGUUUUUCAAAGACAAAAACCACAAAGAAAAUGGGUUGAAAAACAAGAAAAUACAAAAGAAAUUUUGAAACAAGAAUCAAAUGAAACAAAUGAGAAUGUGAAACUUAAUUCACAAGAAUUUAAGGAUCUUGUUGAAAAAUUUUAGAAUGAAAAAGGAAUUUCAAGAAGACAGGCUCGAAAGAAAAUAUUUUGGCAAAUUGUGUCCAAUGAAAAGCAAUCAAAAAUACCAAUCAAGGAAAUGUCUAAAAAAGGGUUGUUUAAAUAUGUACAAACAAAGUUUUCAACUCGUUCAGAUAAAAAGGAAAAUUCCGCUCAACCAGUUUCGUCUGACUCUCAAAAUAAUUCAACGAAGUUUUCAAAAUCAUCAUCUUCAAAGAAUUUUCAAACAAAUGCUCAACAAAAUAAUUUUCAUUCAAAAAGACAACAAUAUUUCAACUUCAAAUUCAUCUUUUCCUAAAACAAAGAACGAUCAAAAUAAAUUUUCUUCGAAGACAAAUCGACAUUUUGCUAAUCAUCAUCAAUUUGAGAACGUUUGAAAAUUUGACAAUGUUCAUCAAGUUGAGAAUGUUCAAAAAUUUGAGAAUGUUCGAAAAUUUGAAAAUGUUCAAAAAUUUAAAAGCGUUCGAAACAUUCUAGAUAAUCAAACAUUUUUGAAUGAUAAAUCCAAAAGAUCUACAAACUUUACUCUAGAAAAACCAAAUUUUCUGAAUCCAUCUACACAAAAAGCGACUCAAGUUUCAUACAUACAAGGUUCAUCUGGGGUGGAAACAAUCAAUCAUUGGCUUGAGGAAAAAGGGAAAAAGUAUCAAUCAAGAAAGUUUUCUCAACAACAAAUCAAGCAAGCCUGUGAAUAGUAUUUGAAUGAUACUUCAUCUGGAAGUUCAUCUUCAAAAGAAUCAAAUACUCCAGUUCAAAAAUGGCGACCGAUCUCAAAAGUACAACAUACUGAGAAGCACGAGAAGAAUAUCAGUGAAAAUCCAAACCUAUCGAAAAAUUAUGUUUCGAUAUCCCUAACUGAUGAUGUCGACUUAAUUGAUACUUUCAAAACAAAAGUUCAAAAUUGGGCUUUAGGUUCUAAAUUCCAUUCACUUUUUUAAACUAAUGACCAAGGACCCAAACAACCAUGGGUACCUAAAUUCUUUUAAUGAUUGCAGGUACUGUGUGACCAGCAUUAUGAUGAGAAAUGGUAUAUUGAUAGUGGUUGCUCGCGUCACAUGAUUGGAAGAAAAGAGAAUUUGAGAUAUUUUAGAAGUUUGGAAAAUUAUGGUGUUGUGAAGUUUGGAAACAAUCACAAAUGUCAAGUAAAAGAUUAGCGGAAAGUAACGAAUGGACAGUUUACUGUAAAUCGUGUUGCUUAUGUAGAAGGUCUUCAACAUAAUUUGAUAAGUGUUUCACAACUUGUUGUGGGCACUGGAAAUCAAGUUGUGUUUAGCGAAGAAGAAAGUAUUAUUUCAAAUGUUGAAACGAAUGAAGUAUUACUGAAAUCAAAAAGAUAUGGGGAUAUGUUCACUCUUGACAUCAAACCUAUUAUUGGGAAACCCUCAGUUUGUUUACUUUCGAAAGCUCCAUUUGAUGUUAGCUGGUUGUGGCAUCGUCGUUUAUCUCAUUUAAACUUUCGAAAUCUGAAUAAGUUGGUAGUAGAAGAUCUUGUUCGAGGUAUACCUGCUCUAAUGUUUGAUAAUGAUACUUGAUGUGCAUCUUGCAAACAAGGAAAACAGCAUUAGAAAGGGCAUCCAAUAUUCAUAGAUUCGAAAAUUGUUAAAUCGUUGGAACUUCUUCAUAUUGACCUCUGUAGACCCUCAAUUGUUGAAGCACUUAACAAGAAACGGUACAAUUUGGUUAUUAUUGUUGAUUUUUCAUAAUUCACUUAGGUGUAUUUUCUCAGGUUAAAAUCAGAUGUCGCUGAAACAAUGAUCAAAUUUAUCAAUAGAAUUGAGUCGAUCCUAAAGAAGAAAGUUCGAAAAAUCAAAAGUGAUAAUGGUUCCGAGUUUAAAAAUAAUGUGCUUGAUUCGUUCUUAACUAAGAAAGAAAUUUCGCAUAAUUUCUCAUCGCCAUAUACACCACAACAAAAUGGUGUGGAUGAAAGGAGGAAUACGUCUCUUCGCGAUGCAGCAAGAACAAUGUUGACAUAUGCAAAUCUUCCUCAAUAUCUAUGGGCAGAUGUAGUUUCGAUAGCAUGUUUUACUCAAAAUCGAUCUUUUAUUCAUCGUUGUUUUAGUAUAACUCCAUAUGAAAUCAUAAAUAACCGAAAACCUAAUGUCAAAUUCUUUCAAGUUUUUGGUUGCGAUUGUUUUAUCAUGAAUCUCAAAGACAAUCUUUCGAAAUUUCAUGAUAAGGCUGAUGAAGGAAUAUUUUUGGGAUAUUCAAAUAAUUCGGUGGCAUACAGAGUAUUGAAUACACGAACUAUAAAAGUUGAAGAGACGUUUAAUCUCAAUUUUGACGAUUACUAUGUGAAACAAGUUGAAAAAUGUUUCGAACAAAAACCGAUUGUUAAUGAAUCAAAUGAUAAGUCUAGAAUUUGUAAUUCAUCUGAUUUUGAUUAUGAUUUAAUUUUUGGUGUUCCAGACAGGGUUGUUGAUGCUGAAGUAAAUGCUGCUGAUAAUCAAACUCCUAAAUCUUCGAAACAUAUUGAUGAUUUGACAAUCACAUCAGAUACUGUUGCUAAUGGCGAAAGUAUGCUAGAUGCACAUGUGGAGGGGAGCACUUGCAUAUUCCUUCAAAUCAUGAGGUGGAGCAUCCUUUCGAGGGGGAGAAUAGCAGUGUAAAUGAAAGUUUCGAGGGGGAGCAUCAGGAUG
rnacentral:lncRNA from 1 species